rnacentral:lncRNA from 1 species
GUGCCCCACCUAAACGUAUUCAUGUCGUGCCGUGCCACAUGCCGUCCAUCUCAUUUGCCAUCUCUACAUGAAACCAAACCCCAACCCUGAGAUCGUGAAAUUAGGCAGACCGUGGCCGGACUAUUCACUAUUCAGCCAAUCCUUCAUUUGACGACAUUGUUGUUUUAUUCUCUGCUUCUGAAAGGGACUAAAACACGCGAGAUUACUGGGGUGGCUUUGGUAACGUGGAUUCGGUACCCCUGGACUUUUCUUAACGUCGGCCCCUUACGUAUGAGCUAUAUGGGCUUACAACAUCUGAUCCAUUUAGAUCUCUGUGGCUUUGGCACGUUGACCCAAUGCUGAAAUUUCUUUCAGCUCUACCGUCAUCUGAUAAUGUGGGGAAUGAAAAAAUCCAAAAAAAUAAAAAUAAAAGGACAGGGUAGCCCACGCUACCGACCUUAAAAUCCAUCAAAAUCUAAAGCUCACGAGUCCUUCAUUUGUAUAUGGUCGUGUCAACAUCGUCUUGUGAUCUUGUCGAUGAACAAAAACAACUUCAAUCCUGUAGCUCUCAUUUUCAAAUUAAACAUUUUAAUUGACAGCAGCAACCAUCUCUUUUGUAAUUUGGUAAUCAUGAAAUUUAUAAUUCAUAAAAAUAUAUUCACGUUAAAUUGAAUUAAUUUAAUUAUUGGCCUUCGGUUGUGAAAAAUUUCCUUUCCCCCAUCGCUCAUGAUGAGUCAUGGCACGAGAAUUUUGUGAGAACGAGGGACCUUAAAAUUGAUUUAUCAGGACAGCACCCUCGUGGGCUUGUAAGUCAAAUGCUGGUACAACUUCACGUGGAAUUUUGGGUUUCAUCGCAUGGGAAUGAGUAUCAACUUUAGACUUUUUUUUGCCUUCGGAGGCAAACCCUAAUAUUAAAAGAAAAUCCAAUGAAACUUUCUUUGCCGAUAACUUAGACUGCCGACCAAAUUCCACACAUUUUUUUCAGCUCCUUCUUUGGAACUUUAUUUGGCCUUGCCCUUCAUCGGGAAUUGUGGAUCCUCUUUGAUUUCAAUUCAUGAUCAAAAAAAAAAAAAAAAGGAAAAAGGAUGAUCGACGGAUUAAUGAUUUAUAAAUCGGGAUUAUUGAAUAAAAAAUUAAAAUUUUAAUUUUUAAGACACGUGCGAACAUGAUGCAAGUAUUGUAAUACCUUUAAAAUUCAUUUAUGAGUUAUGACUCAUGAGAGUUGUACGAUCAAUCUACAUUAAUAAGAUGCAGAAACAAGUUUAUGAAAAAUUUCUAAUGUAAUCAUAUCAUUUUAUGGGGUGGACUGGAGGUACAAUACGACCGGCAUGGGCCUUGGCUCUCUCUUAGUACCCUGCCGUAUACAACAAGCACAUGUACAGAACCUGGUUCAAGUCUCAUGUAAGGACUCACUUCCCUCCUUACAUAUAUAUUUAUAAUAAUGGGGUCCAACUAGCUUACAACCGUGAUUUGUUACCUAUUUUUUUUAUCUUUUUAUGAUCUAACCAUUGGAUUCAACUCAAGAAUUACAAAAGUUAUUCUAACGGCAAGGAUAUAAUUGCUUGGUUAUUAACGCUGCAGCCCUUCUUGUUUCAUAAAAUUAAAAAAAAAAACUAAAUUUCAAGAUUUUGACACAUAAAUCCAUAAAAAUAUUUUAUGAUCUUAUAUGGAUCCAGUUAAUUUAAUAAAUGAAUAUAUUUAGAUAUACAAAAAUAUGGAUGGAUUAUUUUAACUAGCUAAAAUUCUCCCCAUAUCCAUUUAUUUAAAAUAUCAAUUACAAAAAAUCUCAUUUUUUAAUAUAAUUUUUUUAAAAUAAAAUACCCAUUUAAUGUUUUACCAUUUAAGAUAGUGUUACUUAUAAGGAUAAAUAAUUAUUUUAAUUAAAUAAAUGAAACUUAACUUUUAUUUAUUUCUAUAAAUUUGCUCAACAUCAAAUGACCUUAUAAUUGUUAGCAUAAGAUAUAAAUUUAGUCUAAAAAAUUUAUUCAAAGGGUCCCCUUAGGGUAAAAAAUUAAUUAUCAUAUGAUAAUUUGGUUGGCACAAACUUUAUUAUUCUUAAUUUACUUAUUCGUGCCAAACACUAUAUUGGAAUUAAAUUUUCGUAAAAUAAACAUGUCACCAUAUUUAACCGCAUUCAACAUGCCCUAAUUGUUGAGAUUUUAUUAUAGAGAGCAAGAUAUAGUUCUUUUCUUAUUAUAGUAGUAAAAAUAAAUAAAAAUAAACACAAUAGAUUUCUUUUAAGAGAAUGCAAGCAUUAUUUUUAUGAGAUUUUGUGUUCAAGAAAUUAAUCUAAUUAUGUGGUUAGAAGACUCUCUAUUUUUUUAUAUUUUAGAAGAAUUAUAUGUUGGAUAAAUGAAUAAAUUAAGAUCAAAGCAAAACAAAAUGAUUGAGAAGAAAACCGAAAGAGAAUAAUUUUUUAGAAUUUUAAAAUUUUCAUAUUUUAAUUGGGGUUUAUUUUGUAAAAUUAUUGAAAUUUAUAGUUUUUAAUAUUACAGAAAACAGUAGAGAUUGUUGAAGAAAAUGCCAAAUAAAUUUUUUAAAAUUCUCAAAUUAUUAUAUUUUUAUUAGGGCUUAUUGUGUAAAAUUUUUAAAAUUUAAAAUUUUUAUUAUUUAACAAAAACAAUGGGGACUGUUAAAGAAAAUGUCAAAAUUGGGUGUUUAGUAAAACGGAGGCAAGGUAGUUCCGUCCAUAAUAAUGCUAUAACUAUAACCAUUUAAAUAUUGAUAGAGCUGUGAUUACAACGUAAAUACACUUUAAUAUUAUUAUUUAAAGAAAAAUAAAAACCCAAUAGGGUACUACAUUUUUUUACUUUUUCUGUCGGAGAGGAUUGUAAAUUAUAAUCUCAAGUUGAGAAGGUGACUCUACGAUAGAGAUGACAAUGUGCCGUGUCGGGUGAAUCAUUUUCAUCCAUAGGUUGUCCCAUGCUUAGGCACAACAUGCACUAUACCUAUGAAUGGCAUGACAAAUUGAUAGGACACGAGUACGAGCCCAUUAAGGACACAAAGACUCACUCUAAAUUUUUUGAAAUAUUUUUUUAUUAAUCUUUUAUUUUAUUUUGUUAUAAAAGUAAAAUAAAAUAUUUAAAAAUUUAAAGUUCAAGCUUUAAAAAUUAAAUUUAAAAUUUUACUUUACGUCAUGAAUUUUUUAUUUUGCAUUGAUAAAUCUAUUAACCAAGUUAAUUAAAAAUUAACUGAAUGAUUUGAAUCGAUAUUAGUAAUAUUUUAGCUUUGAGUCUUAAUGUUCUUGUGUAAGUGUGUGUUUAGUUAAUAAAAAUUUUAAAAAAAAAUCUUAUAACUCAUAAGUUAUUAUUAUUUAUCAUUUAUCAUUGAUCGAAUAUCAAUAUUUAUUAUUGUUGCUAAACUUAAUUGAUAACUUAAUAUGGUUUAAGAGAAUCAUGACACAGCAAAGCAAAAUUUAAAAAUAAAUUUUAAUUAAAAUGGAGACCCAUGGGCGGGCAUAGCCUGCAAUCCAAGCGUGCUAUGCUGCGGAGCCUGAAAUUUAACUUUCGUGCUUGGUAAGGUCGAAUCGUUUCUUAAUAUCCGGCCUUUUGGCAAUCUCUGCUGUGUACUAGAUAGAAGACAUCCAGCUAAAAGAUUGGCCACGUCUAUUUGCAGAUCUUGCAGUACCGUGUAAAUGUGUUGUUGCUUAUUGAUCUGGGCCGUCCAAUGGUCACGAUCAAUCUGAUCAAAUGAUUUUCUGAUGAACACAGCUUAUCCCAGUCCCAAUGUCACGGGGUCUAUCAUCCCGACUCCUGAUGGACUAUUUCAAGGGAGUCAACUCUUCUGAUCAUAUAUCUACGCAGAGGACUCGACUAGCUUACAGAAUCUGUAAGGUACAGACUGCAGCAUCAGCCGUUGGAUGUGGUUGGAUGUGGAGUGAGAAACUAAACAAUAGAAAAUCGGAUGGUGGGAUGACGGGAGAUGUUUGUUACAGAAUCUGUACCAUAGACAGGUCCCUACGCAGAUGUGCCAUGUGGACAGGCCCCCACUGGAUUGUUUUCAGCUAAUUUGAAGCGUUGGAUAGCGUUCGGCACGACAUUAAAAAAAAAAAAACGCGAUCAUCGGUUCGCAGUCAAAGUUAGGUGUUGACUCAAAUCUAUUAAUGUGCAACAAGUCAACUCAUCCCAUGGAUUUGAAUUGUUCUUGAAAUCUUUUUGAAUGUGAUAGGAAAACGAAAGAAACUAUGUCAAAGAGAUUUUCUUUUUUCCUCCUCCUGAAAGCGUUGCUUUUUUUUUUUAUUAUUAUUUUUUCCCGAUUGUCAGAAGGUGCAUAUAUUAUAUGGACCUUAUGAUGUCAAUUAAAAUAUUAUUAACUACGGCUUAAUGUGUCACUUUGUCAAUGUGACAAGUUUUUUAAUUCGUUCCAAAACUUCAUAAUACCCGUGAUGGAUAUGUAGUCAGUAGUCACUUGAUUAUUGCUAUUUACAAUUAAUUUAGGAGAAAUAUAUAUAUAUUUUUUUUUGUCUUAUCCACGAGGUAUCCUGGAGAGGGCCCCAACUGUGAGAGGCACCUUUAAGCCUGUACCACAACCCAGACUAGAAGUCCCCGCUCGAACCGAGAGGCACAGGUUCUCCCAACAAAGACGACUUCCCUGCGACUCGAACUGGGGAGCAAACUCAGUCAAGCCACUUAAGGGGACUCCAUUGCCAGUGGAGCCAACACUUUGUUGGUAAUUUAGGAGAAAUAUUAACUCACAAUUAUGGACGACAAUUUACCACGUUAAAAAAAAAUGACAAUUUACUAUAAAUAGAAUAAUUGAAAAAUUCAACAGCAUCUAAAAACGAAAAGUUACAUAAAUAAGAUGAUUGUCUUAAUCAUUGCAAUUUGUAAUUAAUUUGGGCUAACCCUUAUGGCAGGAUUUUGCAAUUACAAAUUUUCCGCAAUCAUUCUACGCAAAAUUUUCUCAAUCACUUCAUAAUCUGUCUGCUUUAUCCCAAAAAAAAAAGAAAGAAAAGAAAAUAAAGACUUAAGAAAAUAUAUGAAAGUCAAGACCUAAUCUAACUUUACUUCAUGGUAAAUGUUAACUAGUUGUGCAAGAAAGAAAUGCUUGAGUUCUCAUUCUUCAACCUCGCAGGCCUGCUCACACGAUUCGGGCCCGCUCACAUGAUUCGGAUUGUCUAAGGAAAUAUUUUGAAAAAGAAAGGAUUAAAAUAAUCUUAAAUGUCAUAAAAUCAUGGUACAAUACUGAAAUUAACAAUCUAGUUUGCUAAUUAAUAUAUGUUAAAGCUGAAAAUAAAUUAAUAUUCAAAUACUAAAAAUAAAAACAAUUAGAAAAAAGGGGAAAAAAAAUUAAAGAGAGAAGAAAACGCGACUAGCAGUACAUAUUAAUUAGGCAUAAAAAUGCAAAAUAAUAGAAACUAUCAUAGGACUGGAAAGUACUGAAAUCAAAAACAGCCAUCUUUUGUUGGGUAGCUGUUGUCUUCAGCACCCCCAUUUUGAACUCUUCUCGUUCCUCAUUUCUUAACUCCCCAAACCCCAACAACAACAACUCUAUCCCGGCAUUCACACUACUCUCCUAUAAAACUCCAAAAAUCCCCACUUCAUUUUCUCUCACUUUCUCAAUCGAGAUCAAAAAUGGAGUUGAGUUCAUCAAAAACGACGACGGACUUGCAGGUUUCAAGGAAAUGGAAAGGGAGAGAUCGUCAGCAGCAGAGGAUAAGUCCUGAGAGGACCAAAGUGUGGACUGAACCUAACAAGAACAACAAGACGAGUGCUGCUGCGGCCAACAGAAAAGUCCCUGUUAUUUACUAUUUGUCGAGAAAUGGCCAACUUGAGCACCCGCAUUUCAUGGACGUCCCUCUUUCUUCACCUGAAGGUCUCUUUCUCAAAGGUAAUAUAUAUAUAUAUAUAUCAAUCUUGCACUUUCUUAAUUUACUAUCUGUUUUUCUGUUUGGUCGCCGAGAAAAAAUGAAAUUUUUUUGUUUGUUUGAAUUUGGAAUGUACAGUUUUUUUUCUUUUUCUCACCGCCUUGUUUAGUUUUGGCUUGGCUUCCUAGAAUCACAUGCAUGAUACAUGCCAAGUUGCCAACUGGUUGAUUUGGGCUUGAGCUUAGGUGAAACUGAAAAGUGUAAAAGAUCCUUUGUUUGUCUGUCUUGUAAAAGUUAUGGAAAAAAUAAUAAUAAUAAAGUUUUGAAAUUCAAAUUCCAUCAACUUUACGCGAUUUUUAGCAUCCCGCCAAACUCCUUGUUUCCCUCUCUGUUAGCCUGCCGCGAAAAACUCGGAGAAAGUAAAAGAAAGAUUGAACUUUGUAUGAAAAUUUUAUAUUUUCUUAAUAUUUUCUUUUUCUUCAGAUGUAAUCAACCGUUUAAAUCUUCUUCGAGGCCAAGGCAUGGCGAGCAUGUACUCUUGGUCAUCAAAACGGUAAAUAUUCACUGACUCCAACGCCGUCUGAUGUAAUUACCAUACUUACGUUCACCGUCUUGAUUCAGGAGCUACAAAAACGGCUUCGUUUGGUACGACUUAUCGGAAGACGACCUUAUUUACCCUGCUCACGGUCAGGAGUACGUUCUGAAAGGAUCUGAAAUAGUUGAUCCUUCACCAUUGAGCGGCGCAAAAGCUCAUGAAAUGGCAGCUUCGUCGUCGUUUCGAGUGCUCAAAUCCGGAGACGAGUCCGCUGAUUUCCCUGUUAUCACUCGUAGGAGAAACCAGUCCUGGAGUUCUAUUGAUUUAAACGAGUACAAAGUUUAUAAAGCUCAGCCGAACUCCGAGUCGUUCCGGCGGCUCGCUGCUGACGCGUCGACUCAGACGGAUGAUAAGAGAAGGCGAAGGCGGCCGGUCAAAGUUGAUGAGGAAGAAGAGCAAGAACAAAACAGUCAAAGUCAAAGUCAAGAAAUGUAUGCGAACCAAACUACCGAGCUGAGCCGGGAGGAGAUUUCACCUCCACCGUCCGAUUCGAGUCCCGAAACUUUAGAAUCUUUGAUGAAAGCCGAUGGACGGCUGAUACUGUGUGAUACCAGCAGUAACAAUAAGAACAAUAACGACGAUUCUUUAUCGAAUCGGACGGCGGAUAACAAUCCGAGUGGGAGAAUGAAGGCGUCGACGGUUCUGAUGCAGUUGAUAUCAUGCGGAUCGAUCUCGUUUAAGGACUGUGGGGCCGGGAAUGUGAAAGAUCAGGGGUUCUCAGUGAUCGGGCAUUACAAGGCGAGGCUGCCACGUGGUCAAGGGGACAAGAAAGAGGCGGUGGCAGAUGGGGAAAUCCGAAACUUGCCGAGGGUAAGAUUGGAAGAUAAGGAGUAUUUUAGCGGCAGCUUGAUCGAGACUAAUAGGAAAGAGGAGGUUCCGUCCACUUUGAAACGAUCCAAUUCUUACAAUGCAGAUCGGUGAGUGGCAUUUUCUUUGCAUUUUUGUUUUUUAGCUACUUGUCUAUUUUUUCAAUUUUUUUUUCCUUUUGUUUUGUCAAUUUACGGUCUGUGUUUCAGAUUUCAGAAUGACAGUGAUUCUGUUUUUGUAGUGGAGACGGUACGGUUUGGCCUUCUACAGUUUAUUACAAUAAUUAAAUGGACCCCGUUUCCUCAUUAUUAUUAUUUGGCAGCAAUCAUAGAGAGCUACAGCCUACUAGUUGAAUUUACCAUGCAUAAAUUGCCCAUCAUUGAUAAAGUUUUAGCUUGUCAGUACAUCAAAAGUAAAAGAUACAAGGUUUGCUAAUUGAUGAGUUGGUUUAAUGAUUUUUUUAAUUAAUAUUUUACAUUAUUAUUAUUUUUUACUCUUUGGCAGUACAAUUGAUUAUAUUUCACUUAUUGAAAUGAAAUAUGUAGUCUAAAAUUAGUAUUAAUUAUCAAAUUUUCUAGGACAAAGUAAAGCUUUCAUUCCAGUUAUGUAAUAGCCACAAUCCACGUAGUGUACUGGUACCAAACGUAGCCUUAUAUUGAUUCAUACUUGAAAAGCUAAGGGAGUGUAGUGAGCUGUGAAGAUGGAUGAUUUGAAGUUUCACUGCCAACAUAUUCUCUCUUUUCAUAGAAAGUGGUGUCAUUUUAUAUUCCUUGCUUGAACCAUCUCUCCAAGGAUUCGAAGUCAGAAAACUUUAUGAUUCUCUCUUUAGCCCAUUUGGCCUUAUUUGAAUUUUUGCUAAGUUUGACAAGAAAGCCAGCUAGGCCGAGGCAGCUACAUUUUAACUUUCUUCUUCUUGGAAAAUAGUCUAUGUCUCGGUCAUUUCUCUUUCACAUUUAUGACUGAACGUUAUCAUAUUAAUUGCUGGCCGUCGAUUUAUUUAUGAUGCAUAUCUAGAUCUUCCCAAGUUGUCGUUGUCCCAUGUGUGGUCCAAAAAUUGAAAUAAAUGACUACUGAGAUCUCAAUCCAAUAAAUCUACUGAAUGCCGCUGCAUCUUUAAGAAGUGUAGCAGUACUAUAAUAAUGCAGCACAUAGGGGGACCAAAAAUGUGCAUGAGUUGACUUCUUGUGUUAAAUAUUGAACUGAUGAAUAUGAAUUUUAACUGGAUUUUAUUGAUUAAGCAGAAGCUCGCAGUCACAGUUGGCAGAGAAAGAGAAUGAUGGAGUACGAGCAAAAUGCAUUCCAAGAAAGCCAAAGGCUCUGCCAGUGCCAAGUAACAAAGAAAGCAGUAGCAGUGAUGGUCAACAAUAUGUGAACAAAAGCCUCGAAGUCUCACAAUGAGCCAAGCCCCGCAAUGUGUUAAAAUGUAAAUGAAAUCGAGGAACAUAGGCGAAAUAUAAGGGCAGUGACUAGUGAAUUGCAAGAAACGGCACGGUCGGCGUGGGGCUCUUUCUUUCUCUGUCACUUUCUGUAUGGAGUUUUUGGGGAUGGAGUCAACGCAGCUGAUGCCUUGGUGUUGGUGGGGGGUUGAAUUUGCUUUAAUUUUGAUUGUUUAUGAAUUAUGAUGCUAACCCCAAUCACCUUUUCUUCUGUUUCUUAAAUUUUAAACACUCUUUUUGACUAAAUGAUGACUUUGGAGUAAGGAAAAUAGAAUAUAUUAGUCUUGGUAUUAACAUUUGCUUUUGAGCUUCAUCGUCUUCGAGUAUGCACAUGAGUUAUGUUUAACUGCGAAUUAUUGCAUUUUGACCUCAUGGAUUUUAAAGCUUUGAGAUGUUCGAGACUCUCAUUACAAGAAAGUUGCAGUUUUUGAUCUAUCUUAGCAUGUAUCUACUUAAAAAAUCCACACCGUCCUAGUAAUUCAGACUCUUACUUAUCGAUUUCCCCCGUGCAAAAUUCAAUGCAGGAUAAUUAUGCCGGUGAGAGCUCAAGAAAAUAGUACUUAAUAUUGUUGCAUUUAUUAAAUUACAACGACGUUUCGCCGAAUGUGAAACAACAGUUUGUCGCCUGAGGUAGAAGAAUGAAUUAUGAAAACCUCCGUUUAAAUCAUAUACCAUAGGGUCAAAAUAAAUCAUUUACGUAAGUAUUAUAUUUAAUUGACUACAUGUCAAUUUUCGCUCGUGGGCACUGAAUUUAGAGUGCGUUUGGAAUUAAAGUGCUAUAACUUUUAAGCUACAGUUGCUGUGGAAAACAAACUGUGACUAUGAAACUAAAAUUAAUAAUAUGUAAUAAAUUAAAUUUUAAAUAAUAAUUUUGACAAAAUUAUUAAAAAUAUAAUAUAUUUUCUAUUAUACAAGUGAAAAAUUAUAUUAAUAUAGCUUACAAGUUAUAACAGCUAUUGUUUACCAAACACUUUAAUACUGUAGUUUAAAAGUUACAGUUACAACUGCCCAACCUCAAUUCCAAACACACUAUUAAUCAUUCUACAAGCACAAAGAGAACUUAUGUUGAAGGACAAUAACGUAUUCUCAUUGUGUUUAGGAAAAUGAUAUUUAAAUCUGGUCAAAUCCUCACCUAAUUAAAAUACAUCGUUUAAGUUAAACUAAUAUAAAAAUAAUAAUUCAGUUUCAAAUAGGCUUCAAAAAACCCCGAGUUUGAGCCGAGUUUGGACCUACUCAAGACCAGCUCGAAUUGGUAAAACAGCUCCAUGGACUUGGGUUCAAGCACGAACUUUUCACAUGUGGGCCGGGUUAAGCUCAACAUCUUGGGGCACGGGUUUUUAAGUCAGGCUUUCCUUGCUCGCAUGUUCAAACUAAAUUUAAAAAAAAAAAUUGUAAUGCUGCAAAUUUUACAUAAAUAAUAAAUAAAAAAAAUUUCAAUCUACUUUCUACUAACUAAAUUCAUUUAAUCUCUAACCUGAAAAUUCAUUCAAUCUUUAUCAAAAAUUUAAAUUCAACAACAUGAUAAUCAUUAAAUAAAUCUAAAUAACUAUAACUUCCAACAUAUCAUAGUUCAUAAUCAUGACACUAAUUAUCAAUAUAAUAUAUAAAAAUCCUAAAAUAUCCAAUAUCUAACCAAAAAAAUUCAUAGAAGAGUCUCAAAAUAAUUUUAUCAUUUUUUUUAAAGCUAGAAAAAAGUCAAUACCUCGUGGAGGCACGACAUGGUGGUUGUUGGCUUGGAGUGUUGGAGGUGUGAUAGCGGCCACAUGGGUGUGGUGUGCUUGUUUCAGUGUGUAUUAGGGAUUUAGGGUUUGUAAUUAUGUACUUAUAUAUAUAUUUUUAACUUAUUAAAAAAAAGGGCACCAAUCUGAGUUCCAGGUUUUUGAUGUCAUGCCUAAACCUAUGCCCGAACAUAUUCGGGUAUUCAUUUUCAAUACCCGGAACCAAUUAGUGCAUCGACAAGAACUUUACGCAGACCGCAUUGGUCGAGUCUAGUUUUUUUUUUUUUUUUUGAUUACAUGAGACUAUUGCUCAGAUUACAACUCAUAUUACAUGAGAAUAUAACUGAUAUGUACAAAUCAGACUAUAACUGGGACCAACAUACAUCAAAUCUAAUGGAGCGCUGCCCAGAUUUUAACCCUCUCAAAUAUUCGAGGGAUGUCUACUCCUCGCACUGGGACAAGGAAGCAGACUGCCUUCACUCAAUUUUAUUUGAGGAAGGAAACACCCCCACAUGCAUUGUGGGGGUUUGAACUGCUGCUCUCCAAGUUGGAGAGCAGCAGCUCUCACCACUCGGCCAAAGGCCGAGUGGCUGGUCGAGUCUAGUUCGGAUUCGGUCAGGGCGGCAUUAUUGCACCCUUUAAUUUUAGAUAACACAGAGCAAAAAGCACUUCCCAAAAUCAACCACAUCACAACCACCACCAUCAUAACUACUCACAAAGCAACACUUCAAAAUCAACCAAAGCAGACUGUAAACAUGUUGUUUCACCUAUUGCCACCACAUUGUUGUUACUAAAGAUUAAACACACGGAGAAGAGUAAGUUAGAGAAUUUCGAUGGCAUGUUUGAGCUAAGAGUAUUUUGCCAGAGAUCACAAGCUAGCUGAGCAAACAUCUUUAAUAUGAAUAACAACCCUUUUUUUUUUUUUUUGGGAGAGAUCACAUUUGCUAAGGUAAUGGUGGCCAAGGUAAUUAUGGAAGAUACCUUAUAAUGCCUCUAAAAUUAUUUUAAUAACCUAAAAAUAAAAUUUUACCAAAAAUUUCAUGAAUGUUCUCUAAAUACGCACAUGAAGUUACUAAAAUAUACUUAACUCAAAAUGGAUAUGGAUUACACUACUCUUGUACAUGACUAAUUUGAUUUUGGAGUUUGGAGAAGAGUUGGAAUCAUCACUGACACUGAAACGCCAAAAUCUGAAGUGCAAGUCAUCAGAGCACUUCAUUACUGCCACAUCUGACAACUUCUUAAGGUAAGUAAUUAAUUUCCUUCUUGUAAUCAAUUGAUAGGGUUUUGAUACUUAGGGAAAAAGCAAAAAAUUUAGGGUUUUAUAUUGAAGAAAUAGAUGAAAUUGGUUGUGGGUUCUCAUAAUAUAUAUUUAAAAACAAACUUUGUAAUUGUUUUUUUUCAUGAAAAUGGUGAAUUUUUUAUGGGUUGUGUAGAUUAUUAGUUGAUCAUGACACAACUUAAGGUCUAAUCAUACACGACUUAAGGUGAUGUUACAUUACUACAUGUAACACAUGACUCUUAGAUGUGUAUUACAUGACUUCUUAUAAUACAUGAUUGCAUGCGACGUAAGACCUCAAAAUUACAAGAAUUUUGUCGUAAUUGUUAAUUCAAAAGAAUAACUUAUCUCUUUAAAGACUUAAUUUGUGCUAAGAGUUAAUAUCUUUUUGCUAUGCAAAAAAUGUCAACAAAAUUUAAAAAAAAAAAAACAGUAAGCCGAAAUUAAAAAUUACUAAUUUGUUGUCAUUAUACCAAUAAAAAAAAAACAACUUAAUGAUGAACAAGUUGAGAUUUUUCGUAACUCGAGUUUUUGGCACUUUUUAAACUUAAUUGAGAUUCGGUUUUGUAUUCAUUCAUUGCAUAAAUUGAUAUUGAGGCAUUCGCAUUCAUCCAACAAAGCAAUGUAUUUUAAUAUAGUGAAGAAAGUAUGCAAACUUUUUUAUGUUUGAAUUCGCAUUAGUUACUGGAUUGAAUUUAGGAGAAAUUUAUAAACUUGACUUGGACAUUGUUGAUGACAAUAGUCGGGUAUGUGAUGUUUUGUUGGGCGAUUGCACAAAGUUUAUAGAUACAACUCUAGGUUAGCCAUUCGAAUCAGCUAAGUCAAGGGAUGGUAUGAAAAUGGUUAAAUUUGUCAUAUUAUAUUUCUUGGAGGUUGUAUUACUUGGAAAUGAGUGGAGAUCAUCUAUCAUUGUGGAUCACAUUCUCCAUGUUGACAACUUUUAAUAUUUCAAUAAAUAUCCUUGGGAUUGUGUUUGCUUGGAGGUCACACUGGAAAGUAUGAAGAAUGUAAUUACACUUAGAAAUAAUAAAGUAUGAAGAAUACGAUUAUAAUGAGUUGUGGUUUUAAGACUAAACUGUUGUAAGCCUACUUCAAAUCUUGAAUUUUUUUUGUUAAUUGGACUAAUAUCUUAAUUAUAGUAAAUAUUUCAAAUAUUUGCUGCUACUGUUACUAUUUCACAGGCAUUUUUGCCUAAUACAAUUUUUUUAUAUGAAAAAUUAAUGUAGAAUUGUUUAAAUGACACCUCAAAUUUUACUUGUAAUGCAUUAACAUGUUUAAUUAUAUUCGUAAUGCAUUGUGAAUCACAUUCUCCAUAUUGACAACUUUGAUUAUUUCAAUAAACAUAUUUAGGAUCGUGUCUGUUUUGAGGACACACUAGAAAGGAUGAAGAAUGUGAUUACAAUUACAGAUAAUAAAGUAUGAAUAAUGCGAUUGUAAUAAGCUGUACUUUUAAGCCUAAACUUUCGUGAGCCUAAUUCAAAUCUUGAAAAAUAUUUUUUAAUGGGAGUAGUAUUUUAAUUUUAUUAACUAUUUCAAAAUUUUGCAGCUAUUGUUACUAUUUCACUAGCAGUUUUGAUUGAUACAAUUUUAUCAUAUGACAAGCUAAUGUAGAGUUGUCUAAAUCACACCUCAAAUUUUAUUUGUAAUGCACUAACAUGUUUAAUUAUAUUCUGAAAACUUGCACAACAUUCUAAAUAUUGUUGAAUUUUAAAGAAAAUCUAAAAAUCAAAUUGUCAAUGCUCCUUGCUAAGAAAAUAGAUUUCUUCAUCCAUUUACAAAUAAGAAAUUCAUUUUUCAAGCACAAAAUGUCUCAGCAUCACAAGUUUCAUACACCAAUUUUAAAAUACAAAACAAUCUACUAAGAAUAAAAUUGUGUAAAUGUAAUUAUUUAUAUUGCAUAUAUUACAAUUAUUUAUUUUAAAGUUGGCUGGCUCUAGUGGCAAGCUUGUAUAAGAACUGCUGAACUCACCUCAUGUUCAAAAGUAACACAAAGUGGAUUUCUAAACUCCAUUCUACUAGCUAUUUCCUCUAGGAAAAAUUACAAAUUAUCAUUGAUUUUAAUUGCAGCUGAUGGCAUAGCAUCAGACAUCUUAAUCUUGAACUUUAUUGAUUUCAAAUUAUGAAGUAUCCAUAUAAAUAACUGAAGAUACCUUCUCCACCAAUUCUGCUUAGGGGUGGGCGUCGGAUCGAAUUCGGGUUGAUCCGAUCACAUUCGGAUUGAAUCGCAUUUACUUCGUUUUUAAAUUCAAUGCAGUGAUACGAUGAGUUUUGGUCGUGAGUAGGAAAAUGGGUUUUAAUUGUGUGGCUUCUCUUACUCUAGAAUCGUGGUUAAGGAUAAUGAGAUUUUGUUUUUUUGUUUUUUAAAUUUUCAAUAAUGGGCUAAACUGUUAACUGUGUCGUAUUCGUGGGUUUAUUUUCAAAAUCAAAACUGUGUCGUUUUGGACUUGAUCGGGUUUUGAAUUUUGAUUCGGUGGGGGAGUACUAACACUCUUCGGUUUGUUUAUAUUUAAAAAUUAGAUAAUUGUCGGCCUGUAGCAGAACCUAGUACUUGGGCCUGAAGAAUUAUUGUGGCUUUUAUAACUACGAUCCAUUUCAGACUCUGUGUUCCCAUACCCCCAAGAGAAGUAAGAUUGUUUAGCUCUUGGAUUUAAUCUGUCAUCUUUAUUUGGUCUGCACUAAGUAUAAUUCGGGGGACUUGCAGUUUCAGCAGCCCAAACAUUUUGGGCUUAAGGCCUUAUUAAAGAUUCCGUGAAUAUAUAUCUGCAUUGGGCAUGGUAGUUUUGCCUGCAGCAUAGUCAAAGGUUACAGGGUUCAAAAUUAGGGUUAAUUUCGGAAUACCAUUCAUAAAACAACAGUCUUUAAAAUAUCUCUCAUAUUAUUAUAAAUUUUAACUUACCUCUCAUUUCCAUUAAGAAGGUAAAACAAUUUCAUCAACACGCGCAUUUUUUUCUUAAUUUUGAACAAAAAUGAGGAUAAUUUGAGGUUUACAAUAGUAUCAAAUCUUUUUUUAAAACAGAUUGUCAUUUCACGAGGAGUAAUUCGAAAAACGCCCUUAAAAUUAACUGAAACUUCUUGAAUGUUUCUACCCCAGCCUUUAUUGUAAAGAGUUACUAGUCAAAAUGUUGGGUAAAUAUUUGUCGUUUGUCUUUGACAACACAAUUGAUUUUUUUUAUAUUAUAACUAUUUACUAAAAAAUAUUCUCUAAAAAUGAUAAUAAAUAACAUUUUAAUAAAAAUUAGUGGUGUUUCUGGGCCACUCAAAUUUCAUCUGAUGGUUAAAGUUUCUAUUUUACAGUACCACAAUGCAAAACGAAGCACUAUUUCUCAGGGAAAAAGAAGGAAAAAAACUUUGCUUUAAAGAGAAAUAAAUAAGUUAAAAAAUCAAGAUUUUUUUUUUUAGAUAGAUCUACUCAACUUUUCUAUUUUAAUUAUUCAAUUACUAAUUUAUCAUAAAUUAUUAAAUUUAGACAACAUCACCAUUCACCAGCAACAGGAUUUCCCUUAAAACCAAUGUGGGUGUGUUCAAUCCGUCAUGCAAACCUCCCGUUAAUCAACACCUAACUCGACUCUCUUGACACGUUAUCCUUCUUAUUUCUAAUGAAAAUGGACGCCAUAAAACUAUAAUGAUUAAUUCAUUUAACGCAAGAGCAUUACAACUUUUAGAUCAGUAAGUUUGAAUUUAGAUUUCAUCUCGUUACUUCUCCUUCUGCAAAUCAAAUUACUUUUAAGUGAUGUAAUUAAUACUGUCAACAAAAACAUGUGCUGCAUGAUUUGAUCAGAGAAUUCAUAACAUUUAAGUUUAUUCUGACAAAUAACUAAUCUUAUCCCAUUUUACCAUUUAAAGAAUUAUCAAAAAAGUAAAAGUGUAGCGUACUAAUUUCUCCCCAUAAAAGCAUUUAUAUUUAUUUUUAAAAGCAAAACCCUCCUGGUUAUUGGCUCUUGGCCAUUUGCUAUUGCAAUAAAAAUUGCAAACAGUUGAAUCCCCAUGUCUCUCACUUCUCUGGCCACAUUAUCGUCCAACAAACAAAAAACCAACAUGUGUUGCUUUGUUUUUCAUCGGUUACCCAUUUAUACUCUAUAGCUUUGGCUUCUUCAAUAUUUAGUUCUUUUAUUGCAUGCUUAUAAAACACACCCACAUAAUGAAAACUCUACAGACAUUAACACAAUGAAGUGUUAACUAACCUUGUCUGCUAAAUCAUACAGCUGUCUUGCAUGUCAUAAGUCAUAACCUGGUAAAAAUUUUCAUCAUUGUCUCGUGACAUUUGAUUAAUGGCUAUUGAUUUUUAUGUGAAUAAUUAUAUAGCAUGGAGUGUAUGAUUGUUGUUGUUAGAAGCUAAGUGGGUUUCUUGGUAUCGAGUUUUGAGUCAAUUGGGUUUUGUUUAGCUGAUGUGAUGGCUCCUAUAAGAGGGUCAAAGAAAAGGAGAAAGAUUGAGAAGAAGGCUGAAGGAAAUGCUUCUGCUUCUGGGUCUUCAGAACAGGAAGCAUCUUUUGUUUGGUGGCUUGAAUACUCCAAGAGGAUUAAUGGUAUCUACUCUUUCACAAUUUUACUGCUUUUACUCUGUCGGCUUUCACGCUGUUUUUGCAGAUUAGAUUCUUUAUUCUUUUUUAUAUGUUUUUGGUAUGUUGAUACUGUUCUUCUUGACCAUUUAUGAUAUCAUUCACAUUUAUUGUUUUUUCUUCUCUUCGGCUUAUAAUAUUGUUCAAGUUUAUUUCUUGAUAUACUGCAAAUGCAUUUGAAAGCGUAUAGGGAGGAUCCCCAAUCCGAAAUUUGAGUCGUUCUGUUCACCUAAAAUUCUCCUUUGUUGUCUAAUCGAAUGUUGAAGAGGAUAUGACGAAAGGUUUCAUUUUUUUUUCCAUCAUAUAAAUAUAUGUUUAUAAUUGCUACGUAGCAAAAUCUUAGAGAAAAACUGUAUCUUGCCAAUUCAAGUAGCAUGUGACUCACCAAUACCUAAUGAUUUGAAAGAAAUUCGAUCCCUGGAAGGUGUCUGUUCGUGUUGCUGUAGAGAACUUAAUAAUUUCAAUUAUCUUACAUUGAGGAAAAUGAGAAUGGAAUACUUCUUUCAGAAGAAAAUGAAAGAAAUUAGGAAGUAAAUAAUACUAAUCUUAUUUUCUCUUCAAGAAAUGUAAAUUUCAUUGUCGACUGCUGCAGAACACAUUUGAAACCCAGAUUAAGAUAAGUUCGAACAGUUACUUUUGUAACCUGCCCAAGAGAGUAUGAAAUUUUUAGUUUCUUCUUCUUCUUAAAGGAGUAUCGCUAAGAAAAUAUCUAUUGGUUUAUAUCAGAAAUCAGAUUAUCAUGCAUCUCACCUCUGAGUUGCAUAACUGAUCCAACUUUUGAAAGAUUGUAGAAGCUGGAAAGUGAAAUAGAGCUGCUGCUAUUUUAGAUUAGAAACUGACUGUAUGGAAGGCUUCUUAUGGAGUUGGACAUAGUUGAAGUGGUGGGGGGGGUGGGGGUUGGGGGGUGUGGGGGCUUCACAUUUCUUCCGCAUAUUCUCAAAUUAGCUGUAUCAGCCCUGUUUCUCAAGGUUUCAAUGUUUAUCUAGAGGGCUCUAUAUCAUUUGUUGAGAAACUCAAACCAAUUUGUUUGGUGCUGUGUGGAGAGUUUAUUUCUUAAUUUUCAAAGGAUAGUUUCUUAUAUUAGGUCUUUAUCUAUCUAAACACAUUUUUUAUGCGAGCAUUUGCAGGAAUUCAAAAUGUUAAAUUUGCUUGUAAUGUAAAUUAAUUUUUGUCUUCCACUUUGAUAUGGCGAGGAAUUUAUCUAAAAGGAUUGGGCGAAUAUUGAUCAUUCAUUGAGAUAAGUAGUAUUUGGCAAUUUUAUCGUGUAGGAUCAUUGGUAUGUUUGAUAGAAUGAUAAAAAGAAGUUUAUCUGCUUAUAGCUUUCUGGUUAAAUGCAGUUGCACGUAUAAUGUGGCAAAUGCACCUGUCAAAAUGAGAAAUCUGCAUCGUAAACUAUUGUGAAUUUUGACCGUCGCUGCCAGAUACAUGUCCGAGACCCUCCUUGCCGCAAAUAAAUAAUUUUGUCAUUUGCUUACUGAUUGCACAUUGAUGAAAGCUUGAUAAACCUUCAAAUAUAGUAUUGUGUACCACUACUAACGCUCUGUUUCAACACUCACGUCCUCACUGCCAUGUGUUUCACUUUUGAAAAUUUGGAUGUCUUUAUAUCCUUUUGUUUCUCGUGGAGACAAAUCAUUUCUGCACUUAUUAUGAGAAUAGCAGUUGUAAUGCUCAACGACUUGCAAUAAUCCUUCAGAUUAUGAUGUGCUUGCCAUGGCAUGUAACUUUGAUAAACACACACAAACAAUAAAACUUUUGCCAAAAGGUAAUGAAUAUAGUACGGUGGUUUAUUUCUCCUUAACUCCUUAAAAGGUUUAAGUAUGUGAUUUUAGAAACGUGCUUGCACUGGAGUAGCAAUUAAAAUUUGAUUGGGUUCCUAAGCAAGCACAAUUACUAAACUACAGAGAUUUUGUUAGCUCAAGUACUGCUGAAACUAUGGUUAUUUGAAAAUGUGGUUGUCUAUGCUGUGAUCAAAUGCUUUGUGUUGCAUAUUGAAAUCGUUGUCGUUAUUUCAGUCUGCCAGACAAGAUAUCUGUUAGUGUGACUAAAAAUUGUUGAAAUUGUUUGUCACUCUUAUUCAAAAUGAAGCAUGUCAGCUAAUAUUCAAUUUUUAUUAUGAUGGCUGUCUAUUUCUCAAUCAAUUUUGUUGUCAUAUUUUCCAUCCACACGCUCUUACUUUGAUGUCGAUAGUUUAAUGAUGCUUUAUGCAGCUUCACGCUUUGAUAUCAAUCUAGACAUUUAAAACUGAUCUAAUUUCUCUUCUUUUACCCUUCCUGUCUGCAGGUUUUCAAUCUCCAUUGAAGGGUUUAGAUAAGUUCAAAUCUGUUUUCAAGAUCUCCAGAAGAACUUUUGACUACAUAUGUUCACUUGUGGAAGAAAAAAUGGUGGUCAAGACAGGAGGUUUUUCAUUCACAAGUGGCAAACAUUUGUCUUUCCGCGAUCAAGUAGCUAUAGCUUUAAGAAGGCUGAGUUCUGGUGAUUCAUUGAUGUCAAUUGGUGAUUCAUGUGGGCUACAUCACUCAACUGUGUCCCAAGUGACCUGGCGUUUUGUUGAGGCCAUGGAACAAAAGGGACUUCAGCACCUGCAAUGGCCUUCUGAAACCGAAAUGGCAGAGAUAAAAUCCAAAUUUGAGAAAAUACAAGGCCUCCCUAAUUGUUGUGGUGUGAUUGAUACCACCCAUAUACUCAUGUGUCUGCCCUCUUCAGACCCCACAAAUAAUCUGUGGCUUGAUCACAUGAAGAAUCACAGCAUGGUCCUCCAGGCAAUUGUGGACCCUGAAAUGAGGUUCCGGGAUAUAGUCACAGGAUGGCCAGGAAAAAUGGAAGACCGGUUGAUCUUUCGAAGUUCGAAUUUCUACAAGUUGUGUGAAGAAGGGAAGAGGUUGAAUGGGAAAAUUUUGGAGCUCUCUGAAGGAUCAGAAAUAAGAGAGUAUAUAAUUGGGGAUUCCGGCUAUCCUUUCCUGCCAUAUCUUGUAACUCCUUAUAAAGGACAGGAGCUUCCAGAGUUGGGCUCUGAGUUCAAUAGACGGCACUCUGCUACUCACAUGGUGGCACAAAGGGCACUGGCAAGAUUGAAAGAUAAGUGGAAGAUCAUUCAAGGUGUGAUGUGGAGACCUGACAAGCACAAGUUACCAAGAAUUAUUCUCGUUUGCUGCUUGCUUCAUAACAUUGUUAUUGAUUUGGAAGACGAGAUGCAGGAUGAAAUGCCUCUGCUUCAUGACCACGACUCUGGUUACCACCAACAGGUUUGUGAAACUGCUGACAUGGAGGGUGAAUAUUUGAGAGAUAAGUUGUCUCUCUAUUUGUCUGGAAAAUUGCCGCCUUAAUCCUGAUUAUUUACAAUGGUGGAUUGAAUAGUUGAUAUUGUUCUAACUGUCAUUUAGCUAGACUUCUGAUUCAAAAUCUUGGUGAAAAAUCAAAAUUAUAUAGAGCAAGUCAAAGCCAAUUGGCCUUUCUUCGUAAAUUAUUUCGUUGAAAUUCUAUGCUUGCCGCACUACUGGGUAAUGCUCUUGUAAUUAACAAGGCAUUGAUUAAGACAACCAAAUGUCGCUGCUAUGAUGUAUUGGCACAGAAAUGAUUAAGAUGGAUAAUUUGGUUUCAUAUGCCAUGAUUAUUUCAAGUUCAUUAAAUUUUCCAAGCUAGUAUUAUAGCUUCUUUGAAGUUUAAAGUCCAAAAUUUUCAGAAUGAAGAUCAAUGAUGGUGAUAGAUAAUAAGCAGGGUAAAAGCUUCGACCUGAAGAAGUGGAAACAUUAAACAAGUCUAGAUUCAGAACGACCCACAUAUCUAUUUAUCCAUUAGGUUUGCAACUCCCGACCAAACAAAGCAAGAAAUGUUCAGACAGAGACCAUUCAUGCGUCAUUUCGAUUAGAACUUUGCAAAGUAUGCAGGUCUUAAAUCUUAAGCAAGAGCUGAAAGUUUUAUCUACUAGUAUACAAAAAUCUGCAUUUCUGAGUCAACCAGGACACUGCCCGUGAUCACACCAUGCUAUUUUCUUGAAUCUCUCUGUCUCUAGUCAUUAAGCUGCAAAACCAGCAAGUCAAUUGCGAGGAUUAGCCAUUUGAUCGAAUCAUGAAGAUGAAACUCUUUUAUCUUUAUGAAUCCACACUUUUGUAAUAAGAUCCCUGAUAACGAUAGCAUGCUCCUAUAAACUAACACUAGAGACACUGUGAAUAAUCUUAGUGUCAGGGAAUUAUAUGUGAGAGAAAAAUUACCUUACUUCGGAACUAGGUUUUAUCAAUAAUUUUGGUUGAUAGAAAAUACAAAUAUUUCGGACCAUUCUUGCUUUACAGAAUCUGGGACCACAGAUUCGUUCAUCAAAGCAUUCCAUACAUUUCCCCCAGGACCACCGAGAACCCAUUUAACUUUCGCUGGCGGGCUAGCAAUAUUAAGAGUCGAAGCAUUUGCCUCCUUGGUCAAGACAUCUUUCUCGAAACAAACAGAAUUCUUUGCAUGCUGCAAAAGGGGGGAAAAAAAAUGUUCCCACCACCUUUUUCAAUGAACCAAAAAAAAAAAAAAAACAGCAAUUAUGUUAUUUUUAAACAUGAAGUUAGAUGUCACUCAUUGCUCAAACUCACAGCAGAAUGACAGCCUGGUUUUCCUUCCUUGGAUGUGACUUUAAUCUUUUUGGCAUCUUUUUGUCGCUUCACAAUGAUUCUCAGUGGAAGGUCCUAAUCAGAAAUAUUUUUCAGCUGAAAGCCACAAUGGUGUGAUAAAGGACAGCAGAGUGACCCUGAAUAAAACUUUCAGGAAUGGAAAAAUUCAAAGUUUAACUGAAAUAAAAAAUUUACAGAUUAAACUCACGGCUAACAGAUUGCCUUCUUUUGCAUUGGUCGUUGAUUUACUUUUUCUCACUUCUUGAAGGUAUCUCUCAGCAGCUAACCGAGAACGAAAUCGAAAUCCAGUCCCUGGCUCAAUGUAAUACUGCAGUAUAGAACUUAAAAGGAAGAACUGCUUAAAAAAAAAGACCUAAAUUCAGCUCUAUCCACAUAUUUUCCAUCAUGCUAUAGAUCAAUUUGGAUUUUCCAAGUCUCCCUCCUCCCACCCCACCUCCCAAAUUUGAUCAGGUAUUCAUUUGUAGAUAAAAUCUUUACUUCAAUGCUUGUCUGGGUUCUAAAGACCAGAUUUUGUACAAAAGCAAAACCAAAAGAAUUGAACAAAACAAUUACAGGGAACUUGGAAUCUCUUCCAUCCAGGAAGCAUUAAGCAUUUUUAUUUUUGAUGAUGUUGCAAAAUUUUAACAAAGAACUACAGCAUCUUUUGGUUUUCAAAAGGCACCAGAGUAUUUGUUAGUUGACACUUGAAUGAAACCCAAAAGAAAAUAUCCUUUAGCUUUAAGUGCUCUUAUUCAAUCUGUAGAAAACGGAAAUGAGUCAAAUGACCAUAACCAAACAAUGCAAGUGAUCAUAUACUCAACUAAGGCUUUAUACCUAAAAAAUAUCUCUGUAUACAUGGAAUGCCAGGUGAUUUACCCAUCCAAAAUCUUAGCAGUAUCUAUGUGACUACCCCUGUGCAUACAGUCUGGCACAGUUACGUACUUCAAUAGACAUUUAUAAUGUCAAUCACUAUGCGUGUUAGCAUGAUAGACACACAUCUAAAAUCCUCAAGCUAACCUAGUGUGAAGAACAUACUCAACAUUGCAGAGAAAGAAGAAAAGAAAGAAAAGUACCCUGUCAAUAGUACCGGCAUAGUUGAUAUUCUUACGGGGAAUCUCCUGAACAAUCCAAUUAUCAGGCAGUCCAAAUGAUGCAGCACUCUUAGUGGCACAGGGCACAAUUUGCAUCUGCAUCAACAUUGAUGUAAUAGAUAAGAUUUACCUUGACUAAAUUUAAUUAUUAAAAGAUAAAGACCCAUACAGAAAAUGCACGCAACCAGUUCUUGCAGCAAAAAGACAAGUCAAGACAUAAUACCCUUAUAGUAACAGAACCGUUGUUUUGCCAUAAACAAAAAAGAAGAUGAUUUAAAAACUUACGUUUUGUACAUUACCAUACUUCACUCUCUUGGGAUUAACAGUAUCUUCUUCCCCUGUUAGAUAUUUCUGAAUAGAUAACAAGGAACGAAACUGCCGUCCAGUCCUCGGCUCGUAGUAGUACUGCAUGAAACAAGGAAAACAAAUGAAACGACAUCCAAUUGAAAGGAUCAUACAGAAGGAUGCCAAAGUUAAUUAAAAUGUUCAAGCCCUUUGUGGAGACAAAAUAAAUGCACAGCUUCACACAAAAGCACUUUAGUGUAAGAAGAAAGAAGUUAAGCUACAGGUCUCAUCAUCUAGCUAAUUAACCAAGCGAAAGAAACAUUAUCAGGUGCGGAUGCCCUCAUUGUCUUAAAAUCUGGACCAAUAAACUCUUUGGCAUAGAGCCUCGCACAAAGAAAAACAUCAAAUUUAGUGCAUGAACAAUACAAUUCUCUACGUGAAAUUGUCUGACCCCUUGAGUGACAACGUUAAGAUUUAUUGGUCUAGAUUUUAACAGAGUACAGACUCAUUAACCAAGAAUCAAAGGUAAAUGAUGAGCAUUAUUUAUUUCUAGCUGAUUUCAUUUCUAUAUGGAUCAAACCCAAUUCCAUCAUACUUUCUCUGAAACUUCUUCGGACUGUCAAGCCUACAAAAUUACCAUUCCCAAAGGUAAAAAUUAAAAACACUAAUUGUGUUAAAAAAAGAAAAAGAAAAAAAGAAAGCUUGUGCAUUAUAAAAUUAAAAUACUUGAAAGGCCAUUAUAAUUAUACUGUAGGUCUUUCGUAAAUAAAGAAACUGAAGCACCUUGUCGAUCCGGUCAGGGCGGGUAGGAGAGUGAGUACGAGGGCGUUCCUCAACGGACCAGCCACGUGGCAAUUUGAAGGAAGAUUUAGAAAAGGUAGAGUUGCGGUCCACCAGCUGCCACUCCAUUUCUCUUGAUGAUUCUUGCAUUUCUCCUCCCGCGAUUUGCAGAUUUGACGGCGAGGCCACUACCUUCUUCUUCUUCUUCUGCACUGACGACAUUCUCCUGUCUGUUUUAGUUUUAUUUUGAUAAGAGCACUCGGCACUCACCAUUAUCACCGAGACUGACAGUCAAUUAAAUGCUUUCUACAGUCAAUAUAACUUGGAUUUCACAUAAUUUUAUCUGGAUAAGAUUUAACUUGUCAUUUAUUUAUUCGUUCUUGUUGCAAAAUACAAAGCUAACAUUAGUAAACUACAAGUCGUUCCGUCUUUAACUCUUUAACGCCUCCACUCUGAAUCGAAAUUUUUUUUAAGUGUCUUCUAACAUAUUGGAAGUCCAUACUAACAUUUUAUUCACGUGUGGGAAUGGAAUUUGUAUUUUUGCAUUAAUAGAAACAUUAUAGCAUCAAUUUUGAAUUAGUCUUUACUGUAGAUCUAGCACUUUAUUAAAAUAAAGAAUCCUUUAGAGACACACACCUAUAAUUUUUUUUUUUUUGUCUUCUAACUUAUUAAAAUAAAAAAAUAUCUUAUUCUGUUAAAUAAUGCUCAUAUUUAUAAACCUAUUUUUUUUUUAACUUAAGAGUCAAUUUGAGAAUGUUGUAACUUCUAAAAUAAUUAUUGUUAGUUGUAUUGUAGAAAUAAUCAAUUAAGUGUUUGUUAAAUUUUAUUUUCAGAAGUACUAUGAAUUUUGAAAACAAUUAAAGACGUUUGGUAAUUUUACUAGGGAGAUUGCCAAUUUCCCCCAUACAGUAAUCAACAUAUGCUAUUUUCCCCCAUACAGUUUUUAUAAUGGCCAAAAAAACCUCCUGACAGCAUAAGUUUACAAUAUUACCCUUAUUUUCAACUACUCUUUUAUUUUCAUUUAUUAUAAAUUAAAUAAAUCACAUGAAUAGAAACUAAAUAAAAAAUUAAGCAUUAAAAACAAGAAAUAUAUGUUUUGAUAUGAGAAAAAAAUAAAUAAUAAAUUUUUUUUCUUGUACUUAUUUAUUUUGUAAAAAUUUCUUAUAAAAUGAUAAAAAACUUAUUAUAAGAAAAUUUGAAUGACAAAUAAAAAUUUAUUAUGAGAUAAAUAAUAAAAUAUUUUACCUAUAUUUUUUACAUUUAAUUUUAAAAUAUUACAAAAUAUUUAUUAUAAGAAAAUGUUCACAAAAUAAAUAAUUACAAGAAAAAAUUUUAUUAUUAAUUUUUUUGCUCAUAUCAAAACAUAUAUUUUUUGUUUUUAAUACUUAAUUUUUUUAUUUAGUUUCUAUUCAUGUAAUUUAUUUAAUUUAAAAUAAACGUAAAUAAAAGAGUAAUUAAAAAUAAGGGUAAUAUUAUAAACUUAUGUUGUCAGGGGGGUUUUUUGGUAAUUAUAAAAAUAAUAAGGGGGUAAAUGGUAUAUGUUAAUUACUGUAGGGGGAAAGUGGCAAUCUCCCAUUUUACUAUUAAACUACUGAAAGAAAACUAAUUAUUAAAAGAAUAGAUAAUGUAGGAUAAAAUAUUAUAUAUACAUGUUCUUAUUUAUUUAUACAUGUAAGAACAUGUGUAUAUAAUAUUUUUAAUUGUGUGUUAUACUAAUUUUUAUUAAAAAUAAAAUUUAUAAUAUAUUGAUUUUAUUUUAUUUUAUUUUAUUUUAUUUUAUUUUAUUAUCUUAAAACAAACGAUAAUUAAAUUUAUAAUACAGUGAAACAAACUUAAUAAUAAUUUGACCAACAAAUUGAUAUUAAUGAAUUAUAAUAAAAAUAUAUUAAAAUAGUAAUUUUGUUUCCAAUUUGAAUAAGGAUAAUUUUGGGUUUAUUUAAUAAUUUUAAGGAUAUUUAUGGAAUUGUAUUAAAGAAUAAAAUUGAUUCUCAAAAUCAGAAUUUAAAAACUAUUCAUUCCUUACUUUUUAAAAUCAACUGUAGGAAGGGCUAGUUUUGACAAAAAUAAUUUUGAUUGUUUCUUACCAAACAUUAAAAUUACCGUUUACAUUUCAAAAUCAGAUUUAAACCUCCCAAAAACAAUCCCAAACGGACCCUUAUUGCGUGUCUUAGGAAAAUUUAUCCCACUCAAAGUUUAAAUCACUUUCUCAUCACUCAAUAUUUAAUACCAAAUAAAUAUAUAAAACCGGUCCACUUUUGGUUGACAAAUCUCAUAUGGUUUAGCACUAGUACAAAGUUCAAACACUAUUAUUCUGUCAAUGGAGUGCUGAGAAAGGAGUUGAUUACAUUUAAUAUAUUCUUGCACAAAACGCAAGAGCUGUCUGUCGUGUAAGCAAGCAUGAGGUAAUAGUUAGGUCAUUCGUGAUAUCAUUCGAAAUAUAAAUCAAACUUCGUUUUUGUUAACUAAGGACCGACGUUAUCGUAUUACCGUCGUCAGUGCUUAUGUUAGGCUCACAAUUUUUAAAUGUAGAGAUAAAUUAAAUUAAGAGUAAUAAUAUAGUCACAAACUCUUAUAUAAAUUUAUUUUUUACAAAUUGAUGUGGCAUUAAUUUAUUGGUUGAAUUAAAUAUCUUUUGACCAACAUGAUUUAUUUUUAUUAUUUUAUAUUUUCAUUUAACCAAUAAAUUAAUGUCACAUUAAUUUAUACAAGAUAAGUUUAUAUAAGAGUUUGUGACUGUAUCAUCACUCUUAAAUUAAGCUGCUGUAAAGUAAUCCCCUAUUAGACUCGACAGUGUGAACGUAAAAGCUGGUUAAGCUCCAUGCAGCGGAAUCUAUUGGCAGGUGCCUGUGUUUCAUGCAAUACAUAUUUGAAUUUUAAUUAUGCCGUUAAUUUUUGCUUGAAUUUGUCCAGAUUUUGACAUUUUUGGAGAUUUUGUGAUAUAAUUUGCCACAUUUUAAGGCCGCGUGCAUUUGAAAUUUUUGCUUGAAUAAGACCAAAUCUUGAACAUGAAGUUCAAUGAAUGAGUUUUUUACAUCAUGUGUAUACACGAUCAUGCGUCGUGUGAUCACUUUGAAUCCAGACAGGGUAGGUAGGAGCCGCCCUGUGAUAAUUGAUCAACAACAUGUCAGGAACGAACUAGCACUCGGCAUAUUCGAUUCCCUUAACUGGGGAAAAAAAAAAUUAAAGACUAGAAUAUAAAUCAGUUUUCAAUGUAUUUUUUGAUUGAGUAAUUAGAUGUUUUAAAAUUUUAUCUCAAAUAAUUUAUAUUGCUUAGGAGGAACAUUUUCUUCAAGGGCUGGGCAAUUUUGGAUUCGGAUAGGAUUCGAACGGAUUUCGGAUAAUUCGGAUUGAAAAAAUUUCAUCCGAUUUUAAUCCGAACUUCAAAUCCAAUCCAAUCUGAUCCGAAAUAGUUUGGAUCAAAUUCGGAUCGGAUGAAUAUUUCGGAUAAGUUCGGAUUCGGAUCGGUUUAGAUCGAAUUUGAAUUUGGGUCUUUUUGACAAUACAAAAAAAUUAAUGAAAUCUAGAAUUAAUGAAAACACAAGUCCUUACACAAUUCUUGCAUUAGCUUCAUUAUUAGAAGCUCAUGGUGUUAUAUGAUAAUUACGCAUUCAAAUAUGGGUAAGUCGAGAGCUUAUCUCACUGCAGCAGCCUUCAAUCUAGUGUUCAUGCUUCGUCUUCUUGAUUUGCUCAUCAAAGACUACACAUUUAAUUCCUUAGAGAAUCAUGCAAUAAAGACAGGAACCUUACACAAUGAACGAGUCAGCAAUCGCGAGGUUGCUAUUGCUGUCAGCUGCUCGUCGUGAGUGGCAGCUGGACGUUGAUCAAGAUACGACUGGGUUUGUUCGGUUUGUGUUGUCAACAGUGUGAGUCGUUGUGUGUGUGGUUUGUGGUCGUGGGUUGGUUUGUUUUGUGGUCGUGCUGCUGGGUUGUGUUUGUGAUUUGGGAAUUAAGUUUAAUUGUUUAAGUUUUUAAUUUUUCAUUUAAUUUCUACUUUUUUUAAGAAGUAGUGCAAUCCGAUCGGAUUAUUCGAAUUAAUCCGAUUUGAUCCGAUCCGAAUCAAAUCCGAUCGGAUUGUACAAAUUACAUCUAUUCAGAUUUUAAAUAAAAUUCAAAUCCGAUCUGAAUUUGUUCGGAUCGGAUCAAAUCUAUCCAAAUUCGAUCCGAUGCCCACACUAGUUUCACUGCGGGCCGCUGAGAAAUUAAUUGAGUCGCCUCAUUUGUAAAGACAAAAACUAGGCGGAUCCCACUACCUUAUAAUCAAUAUAUGGUACAUCCCUCACAUGAACAGUGAAUGAGUUCCACUCAUACACUAUUCAUGAGUGAGGAAUUUACUAUACAUUGAUUGUAAGGUACUGUUUACCAAACUAGGCUAACAACCUAGUGGCCAUAUGAUAUGACCCUUUUUUUUUUUUAAUUUCCUGUUUUUUCAACUUGUGGGGGCUCAGGCAGUACAGCCGUCUAGAAUGUAGACAGAAUAAGAACUAAUACAAGUACUCAAUUGUGUGUGUGAAAGUAGGAAGCUGCUACUGAACUUGCUAGUUGUUAGUUGUUACUAUAAUGGACCGCGUAAAUUCACAGUUGUGACUUGUGAAGAAAGGACGUUACUUGGAUCCAGUUUAGACUUCGUAUGCACGUUUCCUUAACCUCGACCCGUGCUAGUGUUUGACGCACUUUCUCACUUUCGCUUUCGGAUUGACUGACACCCACGCGCUUCCAAAGGAUAAACUGAGGUACUAAACGGGUAAUUAUCAAUUUUAUCCUUGUAUAUGCAUAAAACUACAAAUAGGUCAACAAAUUUAUCAUUAUCUCACAUUUAUAACUGUCAUCUUACUCUAUUUGCAAGCACUAAAUCUUUUUUUUUUUUUGGUUUAAAACAAAAAAAGGUAAGAGUAGAAAGAGCACAAACUAAUUUUUUUUAGCCACUAUCUCUUUGAGAUUCAAACUUGGUUAGUUAAUUAAGUAAAAUUACUUGAAAUCUCAGGGGACUGUUUACAAGUUCUAAAUCACAAGACUCGUUUAAUAAGGGUUAUAAAUGAAAAUAUCCUAAUGAGAUAAUGGUAAGUGAUAUGCUUUUUCACUCAAGUAGAUAAUGCUUCAAGUCCUUCCAUGUGUAUUGUGGGAGUUGUUCUAGAAAUUUAAUUAGACUUUUGAAUGUAAAUUUUGAAAUAGAAAUAGGAGACCAAUGAUUGAAAUUAUUAAAAAAUAUAUAUAUUUAAAAUAAAAUACAUGACAUGAUAAUUUAAAAAAUCAAAAUAUACAUAGAGUUAGAAACUUAUAAUAGUUGGCCCAUUAAUAUACUUUGAAACAAAUUAAAAAGUUUGAAAAUCUAUUUGAUUGCCAAUAGUACAUCACAAUAGUUUAUUGAUUCUUUGAAUUUUUGUACAUUAAACAAAGAAUAAUGGUGAAAGUGUGAAAAUCUGUUCAAUUUGUACGGAGUUAGGUGGCUUCAUGGUGUGGAUAAAUUUGAUUGAAGUGGUUAACUUGUAGGCAUAAUAGUUAUCUAUUCAAACUGCAGGGACUGCUUUGAUAAUAAGUUCUUAACAUCUGAGACAAAACAAUGGUUCCAGCUUCCAACUGAAAUUGGAUAGCAUGUGUUUUGCACGCGCUUCAAUGCGAAUAAAUAGAAAAAGCAUCUAGAACAGUCAGAGAUACACAUACUAGAAGUGUCGAACGAAGACGACUUCAAUCUGCUCGCCUAAAGUGACUUUCUUGACAAGUUCGUGCAGCAACAACGCGGUCACGGCAACAACGUCACGUCCCCGCAACCGACCCUCCCCUUCACCAAAAUUACACGAAAAGACCAACCUUGAUCGCCAAGUCAGUAUGGGCCAUGUCCGCCAUUUUAGUCAAAGUCAGCUGAAGGUCAUACUUAGCUACUAAAAAAUUAACUAUAAAUAUACCACCUCCACUAGUAUCACAUGCCCAUUCCACACAUUCAACAAAAGACUGUUGAGACAGCAAAACAUUCGAAAAAAAAAAAUCUCAAAUCAGAAGUCCGUAUUCAUCCAUUCGCUCAUUCAUAUUUGAGUGUGUGAUGAAGAGAGAUAGAGAAAUGGCAGCCAUUGACACCGCAAAUUGCUUGAUGCUGCUCUCAAAAGUUGGCGAAACAGACCAGGGAAAGCGUGUAUUUGCAUGCAAAACAUGCAACAAAGAGUUCCCAUCGUUCCAAGCUUUAGGCGGCCACAGAGCAAGUCACAAGAAGCCGAAGCUGAUGACGAUGGCUUCAUCAGGGGAAGAUUUUGAUCAAGCCCAGAUGCCACCAGCUUCCCCCAAGAAGCCUAAGACGCACGAGUGUUCGAUUUGUGGUCUUGAGUUUUCUAUUGGGCAAGCGCUCGGUGGUCACAUGAGGAGACACAGGGCAGCAGCUGCCAUGGGCGCCGCCGCCGAUGGAUUGGUGACUCGUCCUCUUUUGCCGCUCCCCGUUCUGAAGAAAUCCAAUAGUUGUAAACGAGUUUUGUGCUUGGAUUUGAACUUGAUGCCUACUGGGGAUGAUUUGAAGUUAUGGGUCGCUUAGUUUGUUCCUUUCAUUGUUAGUAAUUAGUCUAUAGCCUUUAGAUAAUUGGUUUUAUAAUUUCAUUUUCAGCCCUCUGUAUUUACCGAUUUAUUGGGAUUUUGUUCUCGGAUUGAUUCAUUUAUUUGUACACUGCUAAAACAAAAAGAUUCUUAUUAUUGAUUCUCAUCAUCAGCUUUGCUUUCAGUUCCAGAGAUAAUGAGAUAUCAUUUUUUGUACAUAUAUGUAAUAGAGUUCGUUUCCUCGUUUGUUUCUUUUUUUUUUUCUUUUUUCAAUUGUUCGAGUUAUCCAUUUGCUGUUGAUUCAUGCUUAUUAUUAGAACUUCACCCCCCCCCCCCCCUUUUUUUUUUUCAAAUACUGAAAUUUUUAAUUUGAGGCUAUUCCAAAGUCCAAACGGCGGAAUUAGAAUAUUAUAUUCUUUAAUCUGGGUCAAUUCCUUGUGUGAUUAAAAUAAUAAUAAUAAUAAUAACCGUCUGUGUGUAUAUAUAUAUAUUUAUUGAUAACCCCGUGUGCUUGUGUGUAUAUAUUAAAAACAAAAAUGUAGAAAACCCUUCAACAAAGUCAAGAUGGGGUUCCGGAUUUUCGAAAGAAACCCUCUGCGCAGCGUUGGCAAUCCGGGGUGUGUUGUAAAUGACUCGACUACUACGGCAAUAAUCAACUAGAAUAUAUUUGGAAACAAGUUGUGGCUGCUGCUCAAUUAAAAAUUUUAAAAUAUAUCAGCGGGAUCAUAUCAUUUAUAAAUAAAUGAAUCAUGUUAUGACGAAUGUGUAUUUAAUUUAAAUAAUCGUCAUAAUACACAGCCAUAUUACAUAUUAAUUAUUUGUAUUAUCUCUGAUGUAUUCUAAAAUUUCACACUCUCGCUGUCAACAAAAAAAAAAAUUCUAUUUGAGUUGUACCAAAUGUGCACAGUUAGAUUUUAUUAACAUAAAAUUUUUAUAUUCAUAAAUUUUUUUAAAAAGAGUUAUAAUGGAUCAAUACCUCUCUUUCUUUCUUAUUGAAUUUUUAAUUUUUUUUCAUUUGAUUUGAAUUCAUCAACUUAUUUUAAAUCUCUAUCCUUUUCCAUUAGUUGAACUCUUAUUAAUUACCAAGAAAUUUUUGCAUAUCCAUUAGCCAAAUUUUAUAUGCGGCCUCAAUAUUAUAUGCUGCUUAUUGAUUAAUUAAUUAUACACUAAAUUUUAUUUAUACUAAUGGUAGAGUUUAAAAUAUUUAAAUUUAAGGGUGUACAAUAGCCUUAUUAUUAUUAAUUUAAAUCUAAAAAUACAAAACAAUCUCAUUAUUAAUAUCGUAAUAAUUUAUAUAGAAAUUUAUAGGCGAUUCAAAGCUCUACCAUAUUCCCCAGUCCCCCGUUCCCCCCAGUCGUCCCCCGCUAUCGGCCUCUUAAGGCCAUGCAAGAGCCCAUUUGUGAGAUCGGGUCAACAAAUCUCUAAAUUUUUGUCCAGUAAUAACCGCUUAAGCCCAUAAAAUCCCAAAAUAGUAUAGUCGCAUUAUUAUACAGUAACCUUUCAAAAUAAAAUUACCAUAAAAUAAAAUAAGUGUAAAACUGUAUAAGGUUGUUAGUAGGGAGAUUAUUUGUAUUUAUUUUAAUAAUUAAUAAUAAUAAUAAUAAUGAUAGUAGUAGUAACGGCUAUUGAAAAUAAUAUUAAUUUGUAGCUUCAGGAUAUUGAUUCAACUGCGAUUGUCUUUUUGUGUAUUUUUUUUUUCUUUUUUUUAACCUACUUUUAAAAAUUUCUGUAAUAUCUGAAGACCUGCUAAAAUUAUGUUUUAGGUUGCACAUGACCUUUCACGAGUUCAUCUUCACUGGUUUAUUCAUGCUCCAUACGUUAAGUUUCUCAGUCCCAUUGUUGAAUGCGUACAAAUGGGAAUCAAUAAAGGCCGCUACGGUUGGAUAAACCCUAGAUGUGAUGCAUGUUUUGCCCUCCAGCUCCAAAACUUUCUAAAACAGAAUGAUCCAUAUGCAAAAGUGAACAAAAAAUAAAAUAGAAAAAGAAAAUAAUAAUAAAAUGAAAUUCCUGAGGCUUGAAUUCUAUCGGGCAAUAAAAGCUGCCAAAAAAAAAAAUCAUUUUUUUUUUUAAUUUUCAGAGAAUUUUUGGUUCAAAAUAUAUGCUAACUUUCUAAAAGAAAUUACAAGUGCAGUUCGAAGAAACACUACAUGUCAUCAAUAUAAUGAUCAUACAUAUGAAUACCCAUACUCUUUCACAGGAAUUUUGCCUCAAAAUGCUAACUUCUAAAAGAAAUUACAAGUUCUCAGACUAAUUAAGGGUAACUAAGUCCAAUUCAACGAGAAGAAACUUGAAACAAAUACAUUGUCUUGAUUAUACUAAUCGACGGAAUCCCCAUUACUACAUAACCUGUUGCUUAGUCUUGGGGAAAUAAGAUUAUUGUGCACCCUUAAAAUUAAAUAUUUUAAUUUGAUGUCAACAACCCCAACUUAUAAGCUAUUGAAAUCAGAGUUCAAGUGUAAUAAUCAUGCAUAAUACCACUGAUUAUUAAAGCGUAAAAACUUUGGAGUUAAUUAAUUUCUUAAUGAUCCUAAAUUACUAAUGAUUCAUGAUUUCACACUACAACAAAUAUGAUUUAUUAUAUCACUAAUUUAUAGCGUUUUAUAUCGAAUGUCAUCACAAUCAUACAAUUUAUAGCAGUUUUAUAUUUAUAGCAUUUUUCAUAAAACUGCUAUUAAACUGAAAUUUUAUUAUAUGUAUAACAUUACUAUUAUGACAUUUUUUAAAAGUUAUAAAAACGUUAGUUAGCAUAGCAUUUUGUAAAAAAAGUUAUAAAAUAAAUUGUUACUUAAUAGUUUUUAUGACUUUUUUUUGUAAAAGCUAUUGGAAAAAACAAAUAAUAAUAUUUUUAAAAUGCUAUAGAAAUAAAAAAAUCAUUAAAAAAUGUUUUUUUAGGUGCCAAAUUUCAUUAGAUUGGCGCCCAUAUUAUAACAUUAUAUUAUGAUAUUUUUUUUCAAAAUGCUAAAUAAAUAUAUACUUAGGAUAGCGUAAUUGUAAAGAAGUUAUAAAAUAAAUAUUGAAAAAUUACUUUAUAACUUUUAUUAAGUGCUAUAGAAUUUAUUAUAAAAAAAAAAAAUCUCUAAAAUGGCUCUAAAUUUUCCAUAUUGGUGCCCCAUUCUUCCCACCCUAAGAAAAAGGCCAAAAGCUUUCUAUUAUUUUUUUCCCAAAUCCCUUUCAACUUUUUCUCUCUACAACUCUAAACUUUCUCUUUUCCCAUUUUUCUAACCGGUCAAAAGUAGUUGAAUUAAAGUUCAUCUUCUCAAAUCAAUCUGCCAGGUAUGUACAAAGCUUUAAACUUGUUACGUGCUUUAAAAGGGUGAAGGAAUAAUAAUUCUUUGAUAUGCAUGCGUUACAAUACAAAUAACAACUUUUUCGGUGUUAGCUCAUAAAGGAAUACAAAUAUGGAAAGAAGUUUAAAGUUGAUUUAGCUAUAUGAAAUUUUCUUUGAAAAGGAUAUUAAUUAAUUAAAAUUGAAUAGAUGAUUGGAUAACUAUAUGUAUGGAUGUUCUAGCUUGUCAUAAAAUUGGUUAUCAAGAUUGAUAAUUAAUUAAUGAACAAGUGAGACGACAUAAAGAAUAUUAAAUAAUGCACAAGUAGAAAAAAUAGACAACAAAAAUUAUGUAAAUAAUUGUUUGUGAUAUAUGCUGCCAGGUGAGGCCUUGAAGGAUAUAGACAGCUCUGAAUUGGUUCCCGUUUACAAAGACAAAGAAUUAGAAAUCUGGUAUAUAUUUGUGUUUAUGAGGACGAGUACUUAGGAUGGGAUGAUGAAGGAUAUCAAAUUUCGAAUGACGAAAAUAUAUUUUUUGUAAUGAACAUAUAAGGGAGAGUGUUAUGAAUUUAUUAAAAUAAAUGUAGAUAUUCAUAAAAUAUAUCUCUUAGUCUCUCCACUAUCUCCCAUUAGCAACCUUUAGCUUCCUUAUAACUCUCACUAUCUCACAAGAAAUUAUGAUCCAUAAUUUUUCAUUAAUUUUAUGGAGUGAUCAUGUAACUAUAAAAGGAGAGCUUAUCUUUUUAUUUUGUACACACACAAUUGGAAUGAAUCAAAUCACUCUAUAAUAUAUUCUCUCAUUUUAUUCUUUAUCUUGCGUUACUUCUUUAUUUGUAUUGCUAGCUAAUAGUUCUUUUUGUUUUUUAUAAGGUUGCCUCAUCUUAAAAAAAAAUCAAUUUAUAUUUUUUAUUAGUUUCAUUAAAUAUAAAAUUAAAAAAAAAAUAAUAUUAAAUUUUUUUUUAAAGCCGCAAUUCUAUUUUCUAGUAAUAAUAUAAUACAUAGACAUAAUCACAUAAGCUGCAGCCUACAAGAACAAGCUUAUUUGAAAUCAAUCACCUGACAACAAAAUUGCUUUUUGACUCGUGCACAUAUGACCAUUACUAUUCGGCCACGUACGAAUGUUACAUAGUCUAUCUGACCACCACCCGUUUAAGAUUUUCCACUCUUCUCAAACCAGAAUGACCGAAACACCCUCACGAAAGUUGUUUUGCCAAAAUCAACGGUAUAGAUCAAUGCUCCUCUUCACACGUGUACGAUAAAGACACCACGCAUCCGUGACUUAGUGAUCGUGCGGGUGUAUUAUAUCCUAUUCUCUAGUACAUUUCCCUUCACGAGAAAAAAUCAAGUGCUUCUAGCUCACCGUUUCCUCUUAAUUUCCGCCGCCGGUGUGUUUUUUCCGGAAAAUUCGCGGCGUUUCUGCUGGCGAUCGGCCGUACGAUUGGAUUUCCGUUGAUCUUCUUUCGACGGUACGGACUUUGAGUCCUUAAAGCUUUGAUGCUCACAUUUCUUUGGGCUGAAAAUAAAUUGCAUCCGAAUAUGUUUCAAAAGCAAAACCUUUGAUGCUCACAUUUCUUUGGGCUGAAAAUAAAUUGCAUCCGAAUAUGUUUCAAAAGCAUAACCUUCUUUUUUUUUUUGUGUAAAAUGAUGAUUUUAUGAAAAUUUAGGUUUUUAUGUGAGAUUUAUGUCUGCAAUUUAGUAAUUUGUGGAAAAAAUUUAAUUUUGGUUAGUGUCUCUGUUUGUGUGUGUUUCUUUUUCUCUUGUGUGCUUAAGGACGUACAAAGUUUUGUUUGUACACGAAAUGGCUGUCGUUUUUAUGUUCUGCUUUUGUUUGUGCAGAGGUUGCUUUGGAAUCGUGAAAACAAGCAGAGUGAGAAGUUGAAAUUCAGUGUACUAGUUGAAGACGAAAUAUGGUAAUUACUUUUUCUUUUCUUUUUUUUCACAUUUAAUAUACUUGUUCUUUGUUAGUUACUUGUACAAUUUUGAUCCUUUUAGCAUGGUAAAGCUUGCAUUCUUCAUAUUUGUUUUUCAAACUUUGACCAACAAGCAAACAGAGAUAAAUGAAUUUGCUGCAUUUUGGUUUGAGGCAUAAAGUGAGAGCUAUGCUAGAACCCCCAGUGAAUGAUUUUUUUUAGAUGUGAACUUCUAGUCUUUUAAGGUAAUAAAACCUUUUGGAGGGUCAUGAUAACGUGAUGUAGGAGUAGGCUUAGUCAGUAUUGAAAGUAUAACAUGCAAGUGCUCAGGACUUGAGAGAGUGUAAGUUAAGUUAUUCGUCUGAAACUAAAUAGUAAACCCUAUGAGUUUUGGAAAUAUAGUCUACUUAAGAGACUAAUCCUUGUGAAAGAGUAACCCUUUCAGUUUCGUUGAAUGAGGGGAACAGUAAGGAGAAGAAUAUAAGUUGUGAAAAAUGUUGAUUCUGGAGUCAUAAUGCUUCAUUUUUAUUGGUAUAUGGAUUAAGGUGUUCAAUCUUUCCUUCUGUUCUUGUAUAUAUGAAUCAUGUGGGCAUUGAGCCAAGCAAAUUAGCAAUUUUAAAGUACUUGUUUCUGGCAUUCUUUUCAGAACAAGGGGUUUUGGAUGGCAAAGGGAACUGGGCAUGAUGGAGAUGCAGCAUUUGAUAAUCCUUCAAGGAUUGAACCAAAGCGGCCUCAUCAGUGGUUUGUCGAUGCUGGCGAUUCAGAGCUCUUUCCUAACAAGAAGCUAGCUGUACAAGCUGCAAACAACAAACCAAGAGUUGAAGUAUCAAAUUCAAAUGUUCCUUGUUGGGAAAACACUUCCAGUUUUCAGACGGUCCCAAAUCAAUUUAUUGGCCGUUUGUUUGAAUCUGAGUCUGCCAGGACUGUCAAUUUUGCUGAAAGGAACUUAUCUUCUGUUGGAACAGAUGAUUCGAGAAGAAAGGGUUUUGAGGACCAUUUUGGGGAAGAUUCAUCGGUUGGAUUGUCAAUAUCUCAUGGAAUAGGCGGUCCUGAAGCAUCAUGUUUUAACUACGGUGGGUGUAGAAAAGUGAAAGUCAAUCAGGUUAAGGACUCGAUCGGUGGUUUGAAUGCCCCAAAGGUACAUAGUUUUGAUAGUGAAAAUAACAAUGACUUGUCUACUGCUCCAGCCUAUACCAGGGAGAACCAAAGUGGUUAUAUGACAAUGGCACAGGGAUAUAAUAAGGAGGAUGACACUGUCACACUGAUGGGUCAUACAUAUAACCGGGGGGAUACUAAUAUCAGAUCAACAGGUAGCACCUAUUGCAAGGGAGAGGAUGGUGCCAUAUCUUUGUCUGACACCUAUAGUAAAGAUGAUAACAAUAUAAUAUCUUUUGUUGGAUUUCAUGACGAACAUGAAAUUAUCUCCAUGGGUCAGCCAAUUGGUGGCUAUGACUCCUCAUACAAUCAAUCUUCAGAUCAAACUGAAGGAGCUUCGGAAAAACAGUUGAAUACAUCUAACAAUGCCAUUGCAAUUGCAGCUUCCUCUCGAGCAGCUAAAUCAAAGCCUGAAUCUCUUUCCAAGAGUAAACUAGAUUUUAAAACAUCCAAGAAAGAAGCUCCGAACAGCUUCCCUUCAAAUGUCAGAAGCUUGAUAUCAACUGGUAUGCUUGAUGGGGUUCCUGUGAAGUAUGUAUCUUUGUCACGGGAGGUAAAUUCCCAACCUUUUAUCUGUUUCUUUUAUUGAUGUUGCUUUAAUGACUUAUGGUAUAUGCCUGCUUGUAACAAGGAGCUUCGCGGUGUUAUAAAAGGUUCGGGUUAUCUCUGCGGGUGUCAAUCAUGUAAUUACUCCAAGGUGAGUCUUUUUUUUAACAUAUCCUAGAUAUUCUUGUGAAGUUCUAUAGACCUAAUGAUUGGAUAUAUAUGUUUGUAUAAGGUGCUAAAUGCUUAUGAGUUUGAACGCCAUGCUGGUUGCAAAACAAAACAUCCGAACAAUCACAUAUACUUUGAGAAUGGAAAGACAAUCUAUCAGAUAGUACAAGAAUUAAGGAGCACUCCUGAGAGCUUGUUAUUUGAUACCAUUCAAACCGUUUUUGGUGCACCUAUUAACCAGAAAUCAUUUAAGAUUUGGAAAGGUAAUUGAAAUACUCUUUGAUCUGAGUUCUGUCAUUAAAUACUCUUGUGCAUGACUCUUACUUGUCUUUGGGUUUCUGUUUGGUGGAUUCAAUACUUUUCUCUAGUUCUGUUUUUUGAACGUUUUUUCUUCUUCUCUAUUCUCAGAAUCAUUUCAAGCAGCUACCCGUGAGCUUCAGCGAAUUUAUGGAAGAGAAGAACUGAACUUGUAAGUUGAUAUUAUUAAUAAGCAUUUUGCAAAUGUGUGCAUGGUAACAAGUUGUUACUAACCUAUGUACCCAACCACUCGUAUGCUCUCCAAAUUGUCCAGAAUUUGGUUUCUUGCUUUGUGGUUCGUUGAGACAAUGUGUUUUGAUGUACAAAGAAGUGUGUAGUAAAGGACACAAGAGCAAAGCUUAUGUGUAUUUAGGUUUGAGAUGUAGGAUCUGUGAAGACUCAACUCUGUCACCUUUCAGGUGCAAUAGAAAUUGUUUUGCUCCAUGCCUACUUUUACCGCUUCAAUGUAAAUAUUCUUUAUUCAUGGAGGUGGUGAAUCUGAUGAUGUUUGUACAGUAAGUGGAGGUUUCUGAAACUCUUGAAAUUCACCAAAGGCUUUCCUACAUUUCUAAAAUAGUAUUAGAAGCCCUACCUUCUACUAAGUAAGCUAAAUUAGAAUGUCAAUCACAGCAGGAGAGACUAAUUGACCUAGAUUAUUAUCAUUUUAAUUACAACAUCUUGAAUAAAUUUGCAGCUAAUUAAAUAAUUCCUUCCUCUGAUUAAGCCCUGAAUUUCUGAAACCUUCCAAAAUAUGUAAUACUGUCUUAUUCAACAUAAAGAACUAAAAAAAAUCUCAGGGCACUCUUACAUAUUCGCUGCAUCGGAUUCAAUAAUCACGGGAGGUAUUAAGCCAGCCGCAGCGUCCUUGGCAACUUGGAUUCCAGUUUCAAACUCCAUUGGUUCAGGGUCGGCACUCGGCACACUUGGUCAUAUUCAAGUCAUUUUAGUAUAAUAACAAAUCGGUACUUAAUUUUUCACAUCAAGAAACGGAGUUCCACAGCAAAUUUUAACGGAAUUUUGACAAUAACAAAAUUUGCCUUUCUACAACAGAGACCCAAAAAACUAAGCAUGUCAUGUCACAAGCAGAAACCAAAAAAAUAAAAAUAAAAAGUUCAGAAAAAGAAAAUGGGUAAAAAAGGAAAAAUAUGUCAGUCACAAGAUACAAGGAGCUGUUUGCCACAAUGGAAAUUCUCAAUAAUUAAAAACUACAUUUCACACGCUAAAACAAGAUUCAAAAGAAUGACAAGAAAAAUUACAAGCAUCCAUCACAGUCAUCACAAUUAGUUUUUUCUUUUCUUUGUUUCUUUUUUUUUUCUUUUUUCCUUUUCCCUUUCCAAGAGUUACACCUGGACGUGCCUCAGAAGUUAUGGGUUAUUAAGUACCACCACAGCAAGCUGAUUUUUGGGCGGCUUGACCAACCCCCCCGGCCUGGUCUGGUUGAUUAAUCUUGAUUGUUGAGGGCUGAAAAUUAAAGACCAAAACUUGUCAAGAAACGAAACAGUGCAUGGUUCUUAAAUUUACUUAUUGAGUGAGGAAUUCAAAUAAAACAAUUACCUCAGAUCUUGAGUCAGUAUCAGCAAGCCUUUGUUUAAUAUCCCUUGCUAUUGAAAAGAAAACUUGCUCCACAUUUAGAUUUGUCUUUGCACUCUGCAAUACACAGUAUCUUUCAAUACAUACCAACACUAUUUCACCUGUAUGUUAUAUGCUUCCAUGAUCCACAAGAGAUACUUACGGUUUCAAAAAAUUUUAUACCAUACUCAUCAGCAAGUGCUUGACCCUUCGAGGUAGGCACAGCCUGAAAAUAUAUAUACCAAGGAUAUGAUCAGAACACUGAAUUACAAAUAAAUGCAAGGAGGUGGAGAUAAAGAAAAGAGUUGCCUCAAUUAUUAAUCCAUAAGAAUAUAUUUACAGAGACUCUACAAAAUACUGUGAAAGUGCCAUCUUCCAUUCUGAAGAAAGAUCCAGAAAUCAUAAAGAAACACAUUAUGGAUCUUGAUUACCAACUAAGUAACUUACCCUUUUGCUUUCGUCCAUGUCAGCUUUGUUUCCUACCAAAACCUUGUUGACAUUAUCUGAAGCAUGUUGUUCAAUGUUGCGAAUCCAAUUCCUAAUAUCUGAAAAAUGAUAAGAAGCAAUUUUAUAAGUGCAAUACUUAGACCGACAGAGCAUUGCCAAAUCUGAAGGAUACACCCCAAUAAAACAAAGGCACCUUAAAUAACACACGAAUAUAGAGCAAAAUGAAUUUAAAAAGAGAAAAGUAGGACAGAAUCCUUUCGUUCAAAAUAUUUAAAAUAAGAGGAUUACUGUUGAAAGACGAUUCAUCAGUAACAUCGUACACCAGCAAAAUUCCCAUGGCUCCACGGUAGUAAGCUGUUAGAAAAAGGGAGAAAUAAAGGUUAAUAGGGAAGAAUUCGAAAUAAACCACAACCGAGUUUAGAAACUAAUUCCAACACAUAAAAAAACUAAAAUAAAAUCCAUUAGAGAAACAAUUCUACAAAAACUUUAGCAUGACCAAAGCUCAUAUUCAUAUGACCUCCAAGCAUUCAUGUACUUCUAAUGGCGACAAAGGACACUGCCUCUCUUAAAGUGACAUGAUAUAGACUCUAACUGAAUAGAGGUAUCAAGAAAGCUAUGAAAAAUUUUAGAUAUUACGCCACAGCCACAUGCUCCGGUAUUUAUAGCAUCAGGACAGAAUUUUGACAUUUGGCAAUAUGAUGGAAUAAUUUCAGGUAAUUGGCUAAGUGGCAGGCAGGUGCACAAUAAUCCAAGGCUUUACCUAAGACUUGAGCCAACCAGAAAGGCGUUCUUAUUUCUAAGACAUAUGUUGCAUGUGCAGAUCCAAGUGAUCCCCACUUAUGCGGCAACUGGCUUUAUAGUUAACCUGCAGCAUUAUAGUUAUUAGGCAUCAAGGUCCCACUCACAAUAAUCUCCCAUAGAGUUGUGCUUACGUAGGAUCUCCAGCUCGACUUCCAUGUACGGAGCUGUGUAAUGCGGCACCCAUACACCCCUAUGCCCACCAGGGCUAUUUUAAUGCAACAAUUCCUCAAUAAAAAUCAAGCUUUCAGUUUUCUGAAAUUGUCUAUAGUCUUUAAGCAAUCACAUCCACUCUUAGAUUCUCAUCCAGCCCUAAACAUUAAAGGUUACUAUUCUACAGCAGCCUCCUUGGAAUAAAAUGGAAGAAUGGCGAUGAGCCAAUAAUCUUGUAGAUUGCUCGCACUCCGUACCGGGGUAAGUUAGGAGAAAUAUCAGUACCUCGACUCGCAGAGAAGAGGGUGGGAUCAGGCAUCUGUUAGACAUCAGGGACAGCAAGAAGUUUCUCACUCAUGCAAGCGAAGCAACUAGUUUAUGUCUAGUAGUAUGCAAGCGAAGCAACUAGUUUAUGUCUACUAGUAUGCAAGCAACCUCAGGGCUCAUGUGGAUACUAGAGCAAGGGAAAGAAUACAUAGAUAGGGUUCAAGCAAUUCUUUAAUGAGGCCUUCACUGAGCUCAAACUGGACACAACUAGUUUUGAUGGGCAUCUGCAACUAAGAGGGAGCGGUAGAUCAUCGAUUCCUGCUCUUAGGUUGCUUUACAGAACCAUUUUCGCAAUUCCAACAAAGAAAUUUUUAUCAUUCACAAAUAUACAGUAUAUAGGCUCCUCAAAACAGUUUAUGUUAGCCCUGGGAUCUCUGAGUUAAACAAAAAAAGUACAAAUCACCAAUCAUUGCCAAUUUCUUUCUCAGUUGUUCAGUUAAGGAGGACAGUCGUCACACAAAAUUCUAUAAUUAAACACAAGGAUCAGAAAACUUACCGGUUGUGAUUGUUCGGAAGCGCUCCUGACCAGCUGUAUCCCAAAUUUGGAGCUUGAUCCGUUUCCCAUCAAGCUCAAUGGUUCUUAUUUUAAAAUCAAUGCUGUGUGAAAAGGAAUGAACUUGUAAGGGCUGAGAAAUGAAUGAACGAAAAGAAAUGCAAAACAUCAAGAUACUGCAACAUUACUCCGCAGUUAAGAGAACACACACCCUAUGGUAGUGAUAAAACUGGUGGUGAAGGAACCAUCUGAGAAACGCAAAAGAAGGCAACUCUUACCCACACCUGCACAGCCAAACAAAUCAUGUUCAGAAAUCAACCACUAAACUAUACAAGCUUCAUCCAAGGCGUUAAAAAGCAAGCCAUCAAAUUUAUGGAUAGUAAUAUACAACACCAACAUGUCUGAUACUGAUGCUUUCAUUAGAGAGAUAGAGUAUGUAUAUAUCUAUUUCGCGGCAUUAUUGAGACAUUAACAAGAUCAACUUCAAAUCGCAACAAUGCAUCAAAUUUCAAAGGCGAAAUUAAAACACGCGCAAUUUCUUUGUUUCUUCAAUUAUUCGACUCUUUUAACAACUUAAAAAAAAUUAAAAUACCUCCCCUUUCGAAGUAGAUCCUUAGAAGAAAUAACAUCUCACAAAAUGCACGUGACAAAAUAUAAUCAGAAAAUGCGAUCUAGCCAAACAAAGAUCUGUUAGUUCCUUGAGAAAAUGGAAGAGAAAAAAGCAAAACCACGCACCGCUGUCGCCGAUCAAUAGAAGCUUAAUGAGACAAUCGUAGUCAGCUCUUGCUCUCGCAGGUGGAGCGGCCAUCUAUUAAAUAAAAUCAAAGCUAGAAACAAAGACAAUACACCUCUCUGCACAUCAAAACAACAAAACGCACAAAUCACUAAGCAAAACGACACACGUUCAUUUUCUUUGUUUACAUGCAUAUAAAUGAACUUAAUUGUUCAAAAGUACCAGAUCAAAACAGCGGAAGGCCAGCGACAAAUAAAGAGAGGUGAAUUUUUUUUUUUUUAAAAAAAAAAGGUUCGUUUGAUUUUAAUUUGAGCAAAAACGAAAAAAAAAAUUGAGAUAAUUUAUUUAUCCACCUGAAGGCUGCAAUGCAAAUCAAGCUUCUCCGAUCUCCCCGACUAUGAUGGUGUAGGUGUAGCUAAAAUGCGCCUUUUAUUUUUUUAAAAGUAAUUAGUUGCUUUUUUUUGUUUUUUCCUCGUUCUGGUGCGCCGAUCACUCCUAGCACACGCUAGCAAGACUUCCAGGCGCAGAGGCCACCUGUCUCGUUUGCUACUUUUGAGUUAUAUUUCCACCAAUUAUGAGAGACCAAUGAGAUUAGAUAUCUUGCGUAUGAAAAAAGUUUGUGUGAGCUGGCAUCCUAAUCAUCACCACAAUACAAUAUUUUUGACAAGUGGUCUUGUAGAAUAAAACAUCUAAUUUCUAUAAUAUAUAUAAAAAAAAUGUUGGAUAUAAAACUUAUAAUAUAAUAUUGGUCUAGUACAACGAUCAUAAAAGAUUUUAAAUGAUAGAGACGUGAAAUAUAAAAAAAAAAAAUGGAAAUAACAUGAAAAUACGUCAGCCUGUUUGUGUUCGUAUCAAUGCUGGUUUUUUUUUUUUAAUUGUUGUAAAUAACAUGAAGAUCGUUCCAAUACUAGAUCAGGAUCAUCUUCCACAUCCAAUUAUAAUUUCCUGACUUCAAUAAUAUUCUAUCUUCUGGGUAAGAAAUUAAAAAUGAAAGUAAUUUCACCCUGGGUGUAGCUUGAUUGGUCGUGAAUACAUUUUAUGCCUAUGAUCACACAAGCUACUUAAUUUCUGGAACUAGAGGUUUUAAUAUGAUUUUUUUUUAAUCUUUUCUAGAAUAUAUUAUGAAAGUUCUAUUAGCAAAAUAUUAUGAAAGUUCUUCUAGAAAUUGAUGGCAAAAGCUUUCUUGUUGUACUGCUAACUGCUCUGGCGGCAAUUUUUUUUUUUUAUUACAUGAAACUAUUACUCAAAUUACAACUCAUAUUACAUGAGAUUAUAACUUAUAUUUACAAAUCAGACUAUUAUUGGGACCAACUUACAUCAAUGUUAAUGGAGCGCUGCCCAAAUUUUAACUCUCACAAAUAUUCGAAGGAUGUCUACUCCUCACACUUAGGUAAGGAAAAAAACUGCCUUCACUCAAAUUUAAUUGAAAAAGAAAAUACUCCUACAAUGCAGCCCUGACCACUCUGGCGGCUAUUAAUAGCAUCAUCUUGCAAGUAUCAGUCAAGAAGUGUAGCUAGUUGUGUCUUGAUUUAAUAAAUCAUGAACCAAUUAAGGACUUAUUUAGUUCCUUUUAAAUUUAAUAGCUACAGUAUAUCCAAAAAAGAAAAAUUUAAUAGCUACGGAUUUCACACCAACGGGCAACACAACCACCUGCACAUGCAAUCCUCUAAAGCAAAAAUGAUUGCGGGAUAUUCCAUUAGAGGAGUAGACAAUAAUUUAGCUGAACUGUGCUUUAGGUGCACCGACUUGUAAUUUUCAGGCAAGCAUUUACUCGAAAAGCUGAUAAACCUCUUAUGAGCUUUUAUUUGACCAUUGCAUUGGGGCCUUGCAGUAGUCGGUCCUGCAAUCAAAAUAAAGUUUGUGGAUGAAACGAGAAUCUGCAGAGAGCUGGAAUUCAUUUGAUUUUAUUUUUUGAGGACUGGCUGCCGUUGGAAACCUUCAUCCCCAGCAAAAAGUCUGAUAAUCUCUAACACUCCACAAGAAACUAAAUUAAAGAAAGGGGACACUUCUUUGAUGUCUAUAUAUAUAUAUAUGUGUGUGUGUGUGCGCGCGCUUGCGCGCGCUUGCAUCAAAAAAUGAAUAUCGAAAUUUAUUUCCUUCAAUCGUAACAGAGAAAGGAAUUCAGAUGCCUCAGCUCUCGAGUCCGUACCAUUACCAAGAAUCCUUUGCUUUAUGUGCUGUGAAUAAGAAAACUUGUUCCGCAUUUAGAUUCCUCAAUCGGCAAAUGAUGAUAGUUACGGUUUCGAAAAAUUUGUUCACAAGCUCAUCAGCGAGAGCUUGAAAAUACACAUAUAAAGGUUAUGAUCAGAGCACUGAUUUAUGAAUGCAUGCAAGGGUCGGACUUGUGCAGGCACAAUAUGGAAAAGUAAAAAUUACUUGAAAAUGGUUACCAUCUUCAAGCUUUCUGAGCAGCUAUUCAUAAAUCAUGAACAAACUCAUGCUGGAUCUUGAUUACAAGUAAAAUAACGCACCCUUUUGUUUUCAUCCACAUCAGCUUUAAUCACCACUAAAAUCUUGUUAACUUCAACUGAAGUUUGAUCGAUGCCCUCAAUCCAAUUCCUAAUAUCUGAACAUGGUAAUUAAGAAGCAAAUUUUAUUUUUUAAGUAAUAAAAAAAAAAAAAAGAAUGGGAUAAAGUUUUUGCAGAUUCUUUAUCAUCCUCUCAAAUGAAACAAGGCCAUCUUCAGUAAAACACAAAAUGUAAAGCAAAACGAUUCGGGGAAGAAACUAAAUGGCGACAGAAUUAAAUCUUUUUAUUAACAUGUAGCCAGUUGGCUACUGAAUUUGAUCCGUGAAGAUAAGAGAAUUAUCAUGAGGAUUAGUGUUGAAGCAUGAUUCAUCCAUUACGUCGUGCAUACGCCAUUAAAAUUCCCAUGAUAGUAAGCUGUUAUAAGAAGAUAAGAAAAUAGAAAGUCUCUUGGAAGGAAUAAAAAAAAAAUGAACCACAAAUAGAUGUGAAAAACAAUAUUUCAGCUAUAUAUACGUAAUAAGAACUAAUAAGAAACUAAUACAUAUAAAUGAUGCUACUAAAAUAUUAGUAAGACCAAAAGAUGAGAUUAUAUAUUCACCACCAACAUGUGCAAAUUGCACAUUUUAUUAUUAUUACUCCAUGGUGUUUAAAUUAUAUCUAGAGUGCGUUGAGAGUGACGUGAGACAAUUGGACUGCCACAGUCCAGUUGUCAAGGUGUUUAGUUACAUCUUACAAUUGAACUCCAACAGUUUAGUAUUUUAAAAGUUAAUAAUUUUAUUCUGAAAUUAUAACUUUUAUUUUACAGCAACUGCAUCUUAAAAAUUAUAGUACCUCACUUUCAAACGCACCCAUACACACCCAAACCAAUGGUGCAGAUAAAAGUGGUGGUGUAGAAAUUAUCACAGAAACCCGAAUCCGAAAGAAAGGCAACCCGCCCAUGCAAACAAUAUUUGUUGAACAAUUCAACAGCUACAACCUAAAGCUAGUUAAGAGAAGUAGCAUUGACUAAUUAAUGCACCAUAAUUAUUAAUACACUUGACGUGUGAGACAAAAGCAAAAAUUAUGUUAAUUAUUGAUUAUGCCCUCUGCCUUCGAUCUAGUCUUACGUACUUAUUAAUGGAUAACAUUUAAAGUUUGAAUUAGGCAAUAAUAAUUAAAGAAAACGUAACCCUUUGUAGACUCUUCUCUACAACAGUAAGAUCGAAUGAGUUUUGGACCAAAUGAAUGAAAUAAAGAUAGAUCUGCAGAUAGAUACAGUGGCCUGUGCCCGCUUCGCAAUGAAAAAUCCCAAUGCAAGGUGAGUUUUUUUUUUCCUGGGUCUUAUUAAUUUACGUACUGCACUUGAUAAUUUAUGAUCUCUUCGCUACUCGUCGGUCGCCCUCAUUCAUUCUACUCCAUAAAAUACGGACAUAUUACUAAUCAUAAUGCCCCACAUGACAUGUUUAUUGGUCUACAAACUCACAUUUUUUCUUUAAAAUAAUGGUUAAUUACCAGCGUGUCAACUGUCAAGUACUCUCAAAUGCAAGUUGCCCGCUGAAUGUUUAAGCCACUAUAUUAAGAAAUAAAGUACAUAUUUGUCAAUAAAUCAUGGGGAGAAGAGUUGUAAAAUGUUUGCUCCAAUUCACAAUUAGAUCCCUAAUGUUUUAAAACCUUCAUCACUUUGGAAAUGACCAUUUUGAAUUGACCUCCUUUUAUUAGUAAAUUAAUUUCGUGUAUUUGAAUGGAAUUAUAACGACAUUUUUUUUUGUAUAUUAAAUCAUUUAGUAUUCGAAAAUUAUAUUGGGCUUCGACUAAUUCAUAUUCGAAUCGGGUAGGACCACUAGGGAAGUAAAACUCUCCCAACAAGUAUUUAACGCAGCUGUAUUCCCAAGUUUCAAACUGAGGACCUUGGUUAAGCUAGAACAAUCCCUUGCCAACUGAUCUACGCGCUUAUUGAUGAAUUAUAACAACAUUAAUACGAUGCAGUGCUCGCCAAAAUUAAAAUAUUAUAAUUUCCUUAUUUCAACUCAAAUAUAUACACGAAAUUCAAUAACAAAGAUACCUAGAUGUUCCUCUUUUGAAAUAGUAGAAAAACUCUCAAUUUUUCAAACAGAAAUAAAGUAUAACUGUCCAUUAUACCAGACAAACAUUAGUAGUUUGGGUCAUUGGGUGUAUGGGGAAGGCUAUACAGGUCCAAAAUACAAUGACAAGGCAAAAAAAAUUAAAAAAUUGAAAAAAAAAAAUACGGGAGCAACAGGCCAAUAGACUAAAAAGUGCAACUAGCUUGGAAUUCCUACUUUACAUGCAUUCUUUCACCAUUAUAAUCAUAAAAAUAACAAAAAGUUGAUUGAAAAAAUAAUGGCAUGGGCCAGCAACUUAAUGCUUCAAGCAUAUGCCAGGAAGAUCCUCUCCCCAUAAACCUAAUUAACCCAGUUAGCUUUUCCUUGUUUUCCCUUUAAAGCUGAGAAACCUCUCUUUCACUCUUCUCUUUGAUAAAUCUAGGCGCUGGCCAGCAGCGAUUCAAUGUGAUGUUUCUAAUGGCAUCAACGAGUACUACUCACGCCGGAGGCGAUAUAAAUGGUGAUGAGGGGAGUGAUCAGGAUGAUGAUCGUGUCCUAAUUCCUGACAGUUGAAGUUUUGUCGUGUCUUUGAUCAGAUGGGCAACUUUGGAACCUUUGGCAGUACUUCUCGGAUGAGAUGCUUUACGGCUCAGGCAUGCAUAUCCACACCAGUUGAGCUGUUUUUGUAGGAUCUGAAAGGUUUGUAAAAAUUAAAAUUAAUAAAAAAAAAUUACUUUUUCACUAUGUAAUACGUAUCGAGCUUGGAUGAAAUGUUAUUGAUGCUCAAGCGAGCUAUUGAUUUCAAAGUUUUUUCGUUGUUUUACUUUGUAUGUUAUUGUGAUUUAAAUGUGUUUCGUUGCUUUCUAUCCUGUACGUGCUAUUCACUUAUUUGCCAUGAAACUAGCCUUAAAAAAAUAUGAUCCAUGGUACGUUGAGUUCAAUAUAAUUUCGUUUCUUCGCUAAUGUAAGUGGCAGCUUUCUGUGCAAUCUGGAAAUGCAAGUUGCAGCUGAGUUCUGUUAUGAAGGCUGACAGUUGCUGUAAGAUUUCUGUGCAAUCUGGAAAUUAAAGAAAUAAGCCUUUAUAACAGAAUUCAGCUUAAGCAAAGGUUGCUAGCCUUAAAAAACUGCAUUGUUUUCAUUUCUUUUAUUGAACUAGUGACUACCAAAUUAAAGAAAUAAGCUCAGUAUGAUUUAUGUUGAUGUCUUUGCUUAUUGUACAUUAACC